GACACAUGCCUCCUAUGGGAAGAAGAAUGAGGAGAUAAAUACAUGAGCUCCAGAAUUGACGUCUAUGGAUCAACCGAACUAGAACCGAUCGGUUCCUGUGAUGAUCGAAUUUUUUCCCUCUAAACCGAUGCAGUUACGCAACUCUGUCGUGCCUUAAUAUAUCUUGUUCAUCAUCCAUACCGCAUAUGAUUAAACCAUACAAGCAUUAUACAAAUGAAACAAAAUAAAAUGUAGGGAAGCAAUACAUACAAAAAAAAUAUGGAAAUGCAUAUCCGAUUUUUGGAAAAACGUUGAACAAAUUCGAAGUUGCAUCUCAAUAAUGUCUUGCAACUUAAAAAGGACGGAAAAUGGAAGAAACGCAAUCCAAUCCAACAUCCAAAAAAAUGAAUUGAUCAUUUAAACUACUUAUCAAACACAUUACUCAUUUAAAUAACAAUCCAAACUAGCUAACAUAACCUAAUGCUCAAUUUCUACAGAUGUAUAUUGAAAUAAAAAAAGUAUAGAGAAAUAAAAAACUUACAAAAUGUGAGUUCGAUAUUGAGCUCUUUGAUCGAUUAAAUGUUGAUAGUAGAAUCUUGGAAGUGUGUUGUAUGAGCUUGAGAGUUUAUGAUUUGAGAGAGUUUGAGAAUUAUGAGGUUUUGGGAGUUAGGAGAGUUUCAAAGUUGGAGAGUUUUAAAAAGUCAGGAAGGAGAAGAGAUUGAGGCAUAUUUGGUUAAAAUGACAUUUGUAAAUGCAUCGCCGUCCCAUAAUGAGCGAUCCAUUUAGAAUAAAAAAGUGUCCUAAAAUGAAUGACUCAUUUCAAUUUCUAAUGCACUUUUUCAUUUGUAAAUGCAUCUCCGUCCCAUAAUGAGCGAUCCAUGUUAAAUGAAGAAGAAUUUAUAAUGCACUUUUUUAAUUGUCAUUCUUCUUCAUUUAUAAAUUCUCUUAAUUUAUGUUAAAUGAUCUACUCUAACAACAAAUGGAUGAAAGAAAUCUAAUGUAUUUAAUCCAAAUUUAAAUUAAAUAAAUUAAUAUUUAUUAUUUAUAAUAUUUUAAAAAUGGUAAAAAUAAAAUAAAAAUUAUUAAUAAGAAUGAUAAUAAUAAUUAAAUUUUAUAACCACUCUACAAAACUUAAAGUUAAUGUUUUAAGUUAUUUUUACUCAUUUAACUAAAAUACCACAUAUCAACAUUUUAAUUAAGGAGCAUUUAAUUUGACACCCCCUAAUUAAAUUUGGUAUCCCCUAUUUUGAACGAAAUUACCUUGAUACCCUUAUAAAAAUUCUAGAAGUUUUAAAAUUUUCAGUUUCGUAGUAGAAAUUUUAAGUGGAUAUCAUAAAUUUUGUGAAUUUACAGGUUUUUACCGCUGUUGUAAGACAGAUACCGUAAAUUUCAAUUUUUUCGUAAGAGUUAUACCAUAAAUCAUGACUUUUGCAUAAAAUGGUUAAGAAUCCCGGAAAUUUUGAAUUACCGGUAUAUCAGGAAUUGCAAAUUAUGCCAAAUUUCCUAUAUGCUCCAAGAAUUCUCAAAAACAUGAAUUUUCAAUUUUUUUGGUACAAUGGUCUGCAUAAAUGGUCUGAUUAAAAAGUCAUCACAUAAAAUAGAUACAUAUUUAACACAAAGUUGUUAUACCUACAAGAUUACAAAAAUACUUAGGAUGACUUCCUAACUUCAUCUUCCUAGUGUCUAAUUCGUCCUGCAUAUGCUGAUUCCCAUACUUUUGCAUCUUCAGUAUAAUUUUGUCUCCAACAAUCAGUGACGGGUGACAAUGGACUAUCAGGUUUCAAUUUUACUUGAACCCAAUGAUUCUCAUUAACAAAACCAACAACAAUGAUUUUAUGCCUGGUCCUAUACACAGGUGGAGCAAAUUUAAGGGGAAAACGUAAUGUUAAGUCUCUUUAACAGGGAGACAAAUACGGCAUUGUACCUACUAGCAAUAGGGUAACCCAUAUCAGGAAUCGUCAUCCAUUUUUCUUGAUCCUGCACAUCCAAGUGUUCUACUUUUAAGGCAUUUCUAACUUCAGAGACCGUGUCAUAGAACAAACUGGAAAAUAAUUUAGGGUGUUGAUGAAAUUGAGUAUCUAACUGCGUCCGAACCAACAACCAUGUCUCUUCGCCCCAUCCAAGCAAAAAUGCAAUAAUUCGAAAACCACAAUUUGCAUCAUCACCCACAUCAAAAAUGUCAUCAAUGUAUGUAUGCCAGAAACCAGAAAAUUAAGACAAGUAAAGAUGCCUCAAAGAUACAGUGGUCAGUUGACUUUGACCUGACAGACUUGAAGGUUGACUUCCCGUUGGUUUCGUGCAUGAUCUCUUUGUAGUUUGACUCCCCUGCGAGCAUUCAUCAUACUCUCGCUGUGAAAGAUCACGAUGCACAUCACGAUGCACAUCACUCUCUUCACCCUUUCUAUUAUUCUUAACUCCCCUCUUUGCCUUAUACUUCACCGGUGGUAGACACAUCGAAGUUGUGGAUGGAUGUGUUACUCCCUCCGUUCCUUUUUAAGUGUCACUUUCUUGACAAAAAAUUGUUCCUUUUUAAUUUUAACUUCCAAAGUUCAAGGUAGUAUUAAUUGUACUUUUGUCAAAAUUAUCCCUAGGUAAUUAUUACAGAGAGAUAAAAAGUUAAAUGAAUGUAAUAAAUAAUUAAGGGUAUUAUAGGUAAAAGUAGAGUUAUUAUUUGAAAAGUAACAAUAAUGAUUAGCUUUCUUGAUAUGUGUAAAAAGUCAAAAAAUGACACUUAAAAAGGAAUUGAGGGAGUAGUUCUCUAACCCUUUUUCUUCAACACCCUCUGGCCUACAAUAUCCAAAGAAUUAAAAUAUGUCUUCAAAUCUUCACACUCUACUUCUAAAUCUAACUUUGUACCAGUAUCUUCAUGAUUAACACCAUGCUCUUAAAUGUGUAAUUUCUUCCAAAAAAUAUGAAUUUGAUCUAAAUGAACAAGUUUGUCUUGUAUUUGGAAACUGACAAGUUGACAAGCACAAGGUAACCCAUGCAUUGUUCUAAUGAAGCAACCACAAGCAUCUCUGGUUGUACCAACAAAUUUUACCCUUUCUAGUUCCUUCCCUAUAUGCUGUAUACACUGCCUUGAAAAAAAACCGUGCAAGUUGGUAUAGAAUGGAGUGUUAUACUGAUGCUUAAUGUUGACAAUACUUUUUUCGAACGACGCCCUGAUUGAACCAAGCUGCAACUUUAACAUAGUGUUCACAAUAUCCUAAUUUCGGCAUAAAUCUCUCAGGCUUGUAGCCAAUAUGUUUUUUAGUCUCCAAUGAGCAGACUCCACCCUGUUCAUUGUUAUGUUACCUAAAUGAAUGACUCUGAUAGUCCAAGCAGCAACAAACAUUUCUUUAUAAGAUGUCAACCAUGUUUCAAUCACAUACUUAACAAACAAAGGAAUAUAAGCACAUAUAGUCUCAAAGUGCUCCAAGUGUGCGACAAACCCAAUUUAUCUAUUAGCAUACAUGAUGUUGUUCCAUAGAUCUAUGACAUGCUCAUGUCUUUCUGAUUUAACAUACUAUUUACAUUUCAUGCUAACAUUUUUUUGAAAUAUGGAACGAACAUAACAUAUGAGUUGAAUUUGAAAACACAACUUCAAUUGCAUUCAUCAAUGCAAGUUCUCAAUCUGUCACCACAAUAUUAAGUAGCAAUUUCUCUAAAGAUAACAACUCUUUGAGCUUCUCCAGUGCCCAUUUGAAGUUUUCCUCCCUUUCAUGCUCCAAAUAGGCAAAGCCUACCGAAAACAUGAAUUUUGUUGACGUAACACCAAUAACCUCUAGCAGUGGUAGCCGAUACCUAUUUGUCUUGUAUAAUAAAAAAUCAACACUAAGUGAAACAUAUUCAAUUACUUCACUAGAUUAGGAUGUGUCCAGCAACAACAACAUUUGAGUCUUUCCUAUUUCUCUUUAUGAAUAAGACUCAACAACAUUUGUAUUUCCGUCAAUGAACAUCUCUUGCUCGCAUUGUAUGUGGCAAAAUAUAUUUUGUAUGUGGUGAAGAACUGCAUACAAUCGCUAUAUGAAUCUGUAUAUGAUAUUGCCGACUCCAGACCACACAAAUAAAACAUUUUUUGAAAGUUAUGUCCUGUUAUUGAAAUUUUCAAAUAUACUCAAAAAAAUUGGUAUACCGCAAAUUUAGAAAUUUUUGAAAAUUGUUGUUUGUCCACGAAAAUUUUGAGAAUUUCCUAUAUUGUAUAUCGGAUUUUUUUUAAAAUUUCUGAUAUUUUUACCGUAUUUUCCCAAAUUUCCGAUAUUAAUGUGUGACUUCUGAAAAAUGAAAAAAAAUUACGUAUCAAAAAUUUCAAAAUAACUACUGAAAAUUUCGUUUUUAUAAAUUUGAAAAAUUAAAAAUUAUAAAAAAAAAAAGUAAAAUUUAAAGUGUAAAUAUUAAUAAGAGUAUUUUAAAAAUAUUAAAAUAUUGAAAAAUGUCAUAUAUAAUUAAGGGGUGCCAAGAAGAGAAUUUUUUACAAAAAUAACCCAAUUUUUCAAGGAAAUUCCCAAAAUACCCCUGGUUUAAAAAAAAUCUCAAACUACCCCACUUUUAGAAGGAGGCGCCAAUUCAAUUGGCGACUCCACUUAAAAAUUGAAUGGAGGCGCCAAUUGGAUUGGCUAGGGCAUGUGCCCUAGCCAAUCCAAUUGGCGCCCAUGUGUAUUUUUACAAAGGAGACGCCAAUUGGAUUGACACCUCAGUGUAAAAUGCAUUUUUUUGACUAAAUGGUCUACGUGAUACAUAAUUUUGAAAUAAGACCAAUUGAUGUUAAUAAAAUUUUCCGUUUACACAAAAAAUCCUAAUGGUGGUGACCGGGAUCACCUAACCGACCUCCGGUCGCACAUCCCCUAACUACCCUAACCCGUGGCCCUAACCCACAUUGAUGAUUAACUACUAGUGUUUGAGCAUCUGAGGGGCCAGGAGCGUCACUACCAAUUACAGGAGAUGGCAUGUUGAGGUAGUCAUACAAGUCGGCAUAGUCUUCAGUAUGCAACGAGGAUGUACCGUCGUAGCUGAGUUCAUGACCCAUGCCAGAGUAGUUAGGUUGUGGUUGACUCAUUGGUGGGCGACCAGGACGGUUGAAGGGAGACAUGGGUGUGAAUGAUGCGUCGAGGAAAGGUUUAAAAGGUUGUUUGGGUGUUUGGUAUAGAUAUGGUUGUUGGAGGUUUUGGUUUUGUGAGGUUUGGGCUUCUUGGCUAUGAUAGGAAGAGGGGCGGUUGGUGUUGAAUGAUCGUUGGGUGUUCUGGCUAAGACGACUUUGGUAGGGUGAUGUGGUGGGUGCAAAGCGAUGUUGGGUCUUAGGUUGAUGGUUAAUUUAUUGGUGGUGGUAUGGGGUAUGCUCUUGGUAUUAGGGUUUGGUGUAUGACAUGUUUUGGUUGUAUGUUUAUGUGUUGGUUGAACGGAAUGUUUGACGGACAGGGGGUUGUGUGUAUCCGGUCUGACAAUGUUGUUGGGGGUUUGAUGUUGAGGUGUCAGGUGUGUAAGUUUAUUGGUGUGGGUCGUACAGGUACAUAUCAUCGGCGAUGAACUGAAAACCAACCGAUUUGUACCAAGCCAUAUAAGUACGACUUGGUUUUUCUUCAUUUGGCAUGACUGCGUCAGUUAAGACAUGGUCAUGGCGGUGCUUCCAUUUGUGACACUCCGAUCUUGCAAAGCUUUGCCAUGGAUUGAAGUUUCAUUGGUCGUUAACUUUGCGCACAUGCCAUUCUCCUAGGUUUGCUAGGAUGUUUUGGGGCAUACCAAACGACAGCUUCACACAAUCACUGUUGUGCAUCUCCACAGUUGUGAAUCGUAUUAUCGGUGUGCAUGUAGUCCAUACGACCGCGUCUUCAGCAUUGACCUCAUGGUCAUGAUCCAAAUUAAGGUAUGGACGCCAAAUGAACUGAGAUGUGAAAGAAAAUAGGAUUAUAAUCUAGGUAGAAGAAGUUAACAAAAUAUAACGAAAUAAUGAGGUUAUUAUCCUUACGUCUGUCGGUCGAAGGUGAUCCAACAGAUUGCGAUACAGAGUAAUACAGUGUCUAGGACAUCUGUUAUAACUCAUACCACGUGCAGACCCCAAAAAGGUAAAAAAAAUUAGUUAGAGAUAAUAAUCUUUAAAGAAGUAAGUAAAUAUAUAGCAAUUUAAACAACUUACUUUUGUGCAUACGGGAAUGUGAAAGGGUUGUUGUUGACGGGUGCUAGGGACGACAGUCUUGACCAACCACAUGCUUGGAGAAAAACAACACAUCCAGAAAAUAUAGAUGUGUCUUUGUGUGAGUUUUUGCAUAAGGAGCUAUUGAGAUAGGCUCCACUACCUUCGGGAAAUAAAAAAGAACCAAUUAAAAGCAUAAUGUAACACCUAGUUUUUAUUAUUCGAGCAUCUUCGGUAGAAUGCUCAUCUAAGUAUAAACUAUUAUAGUAUGACUUAAGGCGUGAAAGGAGUAUACCUUGACCUCUUGAGUUAUCAUCUAAAAAAUCAGUCUCCAAGAGGUCCAUGCAAAUUGAAUUUUCAUAGUUGGUUUUACCAUUAACAACCUUACCUUCAAUGAGCAGUCCCUAAAAGCAUGUAGACGUCUUCUAACAGUACACUCACCGGUUGGGAACCAAAACAUGUGUGUCUCUAGAUGCCAUCUUUCGCAUAAAGCAAGAAUGAAUUUGUUAUCUACCGACCAAGACAAAAUCUUGCUUAUAUGACCAAAACCGGUGAGUUCAACAUAAGGUUGAAUCAUCGGGUCCAUAUGGACAUAUUCGUGGACCCGAGUCCGGAACCUUGAAAUAUCCUAUAAACGAAAGAACAAAAAACUUUACUAAGUUGGUAUGUUAUUAAAAGGGACUCUAUUAAAACAAAUAACAAAAGAAGAAAACGCUUACAUAAGUUACUAUGUUUGCAACUGUUCCUCUAUGCGAUUCGCCCAUAUGGACCAAAGAAGAAUGUGUGUGAGCUAUCAAAAAAUUCCACAUGAACAACUCUGCUGAUUUUACAGUGAAACACACUGAUUCGAGAAGGUAUGUCAUCGGAUGUCGUAAUAUCCUUUGUAAGUUUCGGUUGGAUGCGUCUUACAAAAAGAAAAACGACUCUUGGGAGAUCGCUUCAAUAGACCCACCUCACAGUUGCAUUGCAACUAACGUUGAACAAGAUCAUCGUAAACUAAGCGCUGCAUUGAUAUGUCAAGACAUUCUGCCGUUGGUUAAUAAAGACCCAUCAGUGAAGGUGAGUAUAAUUAUAUCCCAUAUCAGAUCAACAUAUAAUUAUACUCCAUCUUACAAGAAAGUCUGGAUUGCGAGGACAAAGGCUGUUGAAUAUGUGUUCGGCAACUGGGAGGAUUCAUACAAAGAAUUGUCAGGGUUUUUAUGGGCACUAAAAACAUAUAUCCCAGGAACUAUGGCAAUUAAGGAGACAUUUCCAGCAAUGAUGCCAGGCGGAACCUGUGUUACAGGUAAUAGAAUCUUUCACCGUCUCUUUUGGGCAUUUGACCCAUCCAUCAAAGGUUUCACAUUCUGCAAACCUACUAUUCAAAUUGAUGGCACUUGGUUAUACGAUAAAUACAAGGGUACUUUGCUUAUGGCGGUUGCACAAGACGGCAACAACAAUGUCUUUCCCAUUGCCUUUGCUCUGGUUGAAGGUGAAACGGCUGGUGGAUGGGGUUUCUUUCUUCGACAUCUCAGAACGCAUGUGGCUCCACAAGCCAAUCUCUGUUUGAUUUCUGAUAGACAUGUUGCCAUUGAGAGUGCCUACAACAACCAUGACAACGGAUGACAUGAUCCUCCUUCUACCCAUAUCUAUUGCAUUAGACAUAUUGCACAAAACUUCAUGUGUGCAAUAAAAGAUAAGAAUCUUCGCAAGAAGGUGGUAAAUGCUGGGUAUGCUCUAACUCAGCCGCCAUUUCAAUAUUAUCGUGAUGAAAUUAGACUGUCUAAUGAAGACACAGAAAGAUGACUAAAUAACAUACCAGUAGAGUAGUGGACAAGGGCAUUUGACAGAGGUUGUCGAUGGGGCCACAUGACAACAAACCUUGUGGAAUGCAUGAACGGGGUAUUCAAAGGAAUUAGAAAUCUGCCAGUAACCGCCUUGGUAAGAUCGACCUAUUAUAGGUUGGCUUCUACGUUCGCAACCAGAGGUCAAAGAUGGAGUGCAGUGUUAAUGUCCGGGCAAGUAUUCAGUGAGUGUUGCAUGAAAGUUAUGAAAGAGGAGAGUAUCAAAGCUAGCACACACGCUAUAACAGUCUUUGACCGUUAUAGGCAAAAUUUCAGCGUCCAAGAAACAAUGGACCACAAAGAGGGGAGACCAAAUUUAGCCUAUGGUGUUAGACUAAACAAAAGUUGGUGCGAUUGUGGAAAAUUCCAGGCCUUCCGCAUUCCUUGCUCCCAUGUCAUUGCAGCAUGCGCAUAUACUCGUCAAGACGCUUACAACCAUUUAUCUGAUGUGUACAAGGCCGUCACCGUCACCCAUGUCAUUGCAGCAUGCGCAUAUACUCGUCAAGACGCUUACAACCAUUUAUCUGAUGUGUACAAGGCCGUCACCGUCAUGAAUGUAUAUAAUAAAAGCUUCUCGGUACUACCAAUGGAGGAAUAUUGGCAUUCAUAUGAAGGUGAUAUAAUUUAGCACAACAACGAGAUGCGUAGAAAGAAAAAAGGAAGGCCAAAUAGCACACGUAUCAGGACAAAAAUGGAUUCGACAGAUAAAAUGAUAAGAUUAUGUAGUAUUAGUCGUCAACCAGGACACAACAAGAACAAUUGUCCCAAUCGAGGAGCAUCAUCUGGGUCAUAAGCUUUUUGUAACAUUCUUUUUCUGUAACCUUCAAUCAUUAUAUAUCAUACAUUUUUUGUUACAACGAGGUUCACAACAAACAUCAGUACAAAAUAAGCUAACUGAAAACAAAAAUAUUUCUAACUGAUUACAACAAUCAAAUUGAUGUCAUCUCGACCGAACAUCAUUCCCUAGCAUCCUUAUCAGUCUUCAUUCGCACCCAACCAAAUAUACUAUUGAGUCUCUCAAUACUUCUAAUUUUUUCCCCUUCUGGUAUUUUCCCAUCUAACCAACAAACCAACUCCUUAUUCAGUUGCUCGAAUGUAGUGAUGUUCCAAAAGAGCAUCAACGUCUGAGGUUUGUCUCUCGCAUAAAUCACCUUUCCGUAUCGGCGACGAACACCAAACGUGAUUGUCAAAUGAUUAAAUGAGAUGUGGAAGAAUGACUCACACAACACAUCUAUUUAUAACAAAAAAAUUGCAUUUUACACUGAGGUGUCAAUCCAAUUGACGCCUCCUUUGUAAAAAUACACAUGGGCGCCAAUUGGAUUGGCUAUGGCACAUGCCCUAGUCAAUCCAAUUGGCGCCUCCAUCCAAUCUUUAAGAGAAAUCGCCAAUUGAAUUGGCGCCUCCUCCUAAAAGUGGAGUAGUUUGAGAUAUUUUUUAAACCAGAAAUAUUUUAGAAAUUUUCUUGAAAAAAUGGAUUAUUUUUGUAAAAAAUUCGCAAGAAGAAUUCGCUCAAGUAAGAUAUUCUAUACAGUCCAACAUUAAUAAAGGGAAUGUGUAAAAGAAAUGUAAAAAAUAUGAUGGGUGAAUAAUUUAGGAGAGGCUAGUAUAUCAUCGAGACAUUUUAUAUAUUAAAAAUAGUUAUAAAUAAAUAAAAGUGAGAAUUUUACUCUAAAAACUUUAUCUAUAAUUCUUAAUAUUUUUUAAAAUAUCAUUGAUUUAUAGAUAUUAAUAAUUUAUUUACAUUAAUAUAUUAUAUUAUAAAAAAUACAAUAAAAAUCUACUGAAAAGAAUUAAAUCAUUAACCAUUACUUACAUUUAUUUAUUUCAAUUAGCAUUUAUACAAACUGAAUUCAAUAAUUUUAAUAUUUAUACUUAUUAAUUAUUAAUUUAUGUAUUAAAAAUUCAAUUUUACAAAAAAUUAACUAAUUUUUUAAAAGAGAAAAUAGUUUUCUAAAAAAUUCAAAAGUUAUACUUUUUCUAAAACAUAUUACUUUUAUAUAUAUAUAUAUAAGAAAACUCAAAAUUUUAGUUUUCGAAAAUAAAUUUAUCAUAGAAUUUUCUAGAAACUAAAAAGAAUAAAUUAAUUUUUUUGAAAGUUGUGGGAGUUCAGGGGAACAAAAGGACAUAUUUCUAAAAAGUCAAUAUGAUGUUAGCAAGAAAUGAGCAUGUGAGCCUUUUACAUAACCAUGUGGACUUGUCUUGCUUGGAGCCCACUAAGAAAAGGUUGAUGGAGUCUACUUCCAAUAACAGCCCAACACAUAGAUGGUUAUUGCUAUUGAUAAGAACCAAACACUAUCAACAAUGAUGUUUCAAUUCAUAACUGCCAAAUCUAUUAUAAGACGUUUUUAUUGGUAGGUCUUACUAGUUAUGCAUACCAGAAUCUAUGUUUGUUUGUCAAUCUAGAUAACUUGGGUGCAAUUCCUCAUUUGAUAUGACAAAAAAAUCAUGAUAAUAAAAAUACUAGAUAUUUUAAGUGAAUAGAUGUGUAUAUAUAUCUAAGAUGGUUAGAUGACACUGAUCUGUCCAAAAUGUCCUUUCAUGUCUAGAAAUUUUAUACUUGUAAAAGCCUAUUGGUAAUUAACAAAUAAUAUUAAAUAACACUCAAAAUAAUUUCUUAUAUCACAAGGAAGAGAGAUUAAUAAAGAAUAAAAUAUAUACAACUUAGUGGUGAUAAUUAACACUGGAAUGAAAUUUAGUGGAUUUUCAUGGAAAGCAAUUGCUACCGGAUGCAAGAAACUCACUCAUCUCGAAAACAAUGGAUGUCACAACAUUGACUUCAAAUUUAGUGGAAAAUCACGCUAGUAUGUUUUGUGACUAUAUUCUAAUAUUAGCUCAUGGUUUAUUUAUUUAUUUAAUUAUUAUUAUUAUUAUUUUAUUUUUUUAAGUUUAAGUUGAUUUACAAUUUUCAAAAAGGAAAGUAAGUUUGGAAGAUUUUCAAUUUUAUCAUCUAUCUAUCAACAUGUUAAUGAAUUUUUGUCGAUUGUGAUUUUAUCAUCUAUUUAAUUAUUAACAUCUUCUAUCAUUUUAAAGUUGUAGGUUAAAAAAAGAGUUAGAUACGCUCUGUAUAACAUAUAUAUAUUCCAUUUAUGAUCAUGGAUGAUAGACAUGUGGCAUAAAAAAUUCGGAUACUCAUCGUUGGAUAAUUAAUUUUUUAUGCGUGUUUAUUUUUAAAAUAGAAAAAAAAUAUAAAAUAAAAUAAAAUUGUUUUAUCAAAAAAACUUAUUAUUUAUAAAAGAAAAAUAUAUUUUAAUUUAUAAAUGGAUUAAAAAAUAAAAAUAUUUAGAUUAAAAAAAACCUGUUCUCAUUAAAAAAAAUAUUAAGAUUUAUUCAUUAAUUUUAAAAUUACAUUUGUCAUUAAUAACAUUUAUAUUAGUGAAAUAAUUAAUUAAAAAACAUUUUUUAGAAAUUAUCUUUAAAAAUAUUAUAUCUUAAAAAUAUAUAUAUUUUAAAAAAUAUUAAGAACAUGAAAAAUUAAAAAAUAACGUAUUUUUCCCGUGUUUGGAUUCAUAUAUUAUUUUAAAUAUAUAUAUAUAUAUUUUUUAUUUUUUAAUUGUAUAAAAAAUAAUAAUAACCCGUAAGUUUGCACGAAAUCUGAUCUGAAUACAUGUGCAUUUGUACAUGUAUCGGUGUGUUACACACAUUUAUUUCAAAAAUAUAAUAAGAAUAUAAAAAAAAUUGUUUAUCGAACGGUUUUAUUAUUUAUAAAAGAAAAAUAUAUUUUUAUUUAUAUACAAAUAAAAAUAUUUAGAUUAAAAAAAAUUGUUCCCAUUUAAAAAAAAACAAAAAAUUUAUUCAUUAAUUUAAAAUUAAUAUUUACCAUUAAUAACAUAUAUAUUAGUGAAAUAAAUAGUUAAAAAAUAAUUCUAUAUAUUAUCUUAAAAAAUAUUGUAUCUUAAAUUAUAAAUAAUUUUAAAAUAAAAGUAUUAAUAGCCUAAAUAAUUAAAAAACAACAAUUUUUUCCUAUGUUUGGAUUAAUACAUUAUUUUAAAUAUAUUUAUUUUUAUUUUCUUUAAUUAUAAAAAAAAAUGUAAUAAAGAUCUGUGAACCAGACAUUUGUUUGCUACAUGUAAAAUACCUGUGAAAAACCAGCAUAAAAUCUAGUUACAAAGCAAUGAAAAAAAAUAGAGUACAUUUGACUAAAUUUUGUUUAUGUACCAUGCAUCUGAAUAAAUUCCAAGCUUAAGACCUUUGUUGUGUACAUAAUCUGCUAGAGCUUUAAUAUCAGAAAUAAAUGUUGAGUUCUUUGCCACCAUAUUGCCUUGUAACACAACAAUGUUUGUCAGAAACAAUUUUAUUUAAAACUUUCAGAAAUCAAAUAAGAAAACACAGUAAAAAACAAAGGAUCUAUGCCUUAUCAUCGCGAUUAAGUUCAGCCCAACAAUCAUCUACAACAACAAACAAUUGAAACAAAUAAUGAUAAUACCUAUUUUGACAUAGGUGUAUCCAAGCUUAGAUAGACCAGUAGAAAUAAGAGCAUCAACUGUAAAUCCAUUCACCAAAUUCACAAAACCAAAUGCUAAUUUUUCAAAUGUAUACUUACUAAAUAACUUUAUACAAAUCCAUCAAUUAAAUCAUCAUUGUAUGUAUAUACAGCAUAAACCAUAAAUGACCAAAAAUACCAAUUUGUGAGAUUAUUUUUUCAUCAAUUUUGUUGAAUUGUAAUUCCUUGUGUCGAAGCAGGUUGUUCGACAGAAGCAAGGAAAUGUCGAAUCAUCUAGUGUCUUGAGUUGUAUUAGUGUCGAAGUGUCGAAACAUGUUGCUUCACACAGGAUUUCGACUUAGGCCUAUUUUUAGUAGUGUUAACUAUUUUGGGCUUUUAUAGUUUUGGGCUUUGGCUUGAGGUGCUAGCUAACCUAAAUCUAUAAAUAAAUGGAGUAACCUUUAUUCUUGUAAUGAAGUGAAUAGAGCAUUCAUAAUAUUGUAUUCACAUUAUUUUGCAGUUGAAAAGUGAAUAAGAAGUUUUCCAUAGUUUGUGGAUAGAGAGAAACUCUACAGAUUUUUAUUACUUUUCUCCUUCGUUCUUUCUUUCUUUCUCCAUUGUUCUUCUCCUUUCAUUGUUAUUGUGUGGGUGAUAACAAUCUUGUUCAUCAAGAUUGAUUAAAAUUCUUCAUAGGUUGUGGUGGAUUUCGAACAUCUGAUAUCAAGAGCUCCGGUUUAAACGAUUCGUAGGAAGAAAAUCACCAUGACAAUGAAUCAUCCAAACCGGCAUUUUCCAGCAAAUCUUCUGAUUUUCAAGAACAACAAUUAUGAGAAUUGGUGCAAGCAGAUAAAGGUUGUGUUCUGUUAUCGAGAUCUUUGGGAUCUUGUGAAGGAAGGAGUAACAACGCUUGUAGAAGACGCGACAGAUCAAGAAAAGGUUGUACAUAAAAAAUUGAAGAAGAAAUAUUAUAAAGCUCUCUUUAUAAUCCAUCAAUGUGUUGAUGCAUAUAACUUUAAAAAUGUUAGUGAUGCAGAGUCAGCGAAAGAAGCAUGGGAAAUUCUGGAGAAGUAGUUUGGAGGUGCGGAGAAGGCGAAAAAGGUGAGGUUAUAAACUCACAAAAGGACGUAUGAAUUGCUUCAGAUGGAAGACAAUGAAAGCAUAACUAAUUUUUUCACCAAGGUUACGAAACUGGUGAAUCAAAUCAAGGUAUAUGGAGAAGUGUUGACAUCAAGAUCCGUUGUUGGAAAGAUCUUGAGGUCGUUGGCUCCAAAGUUCGACCAUGUGGUAGUAGCCAUAGAAGAGUCGAAGGAUUUGUCAAAACUGACGAAGGAAGAGCUUCAAGGGAUGCUUGAAUCUCAUGAACAAAGAAUGGCUGAAGGAGCUGCAGGAAAGUCGAAGAAUGAUAUGGAUUUACAGGCGCAAUUAGCAAAAGAAAGGAAAGACAAAGGAAGCUGGAAUGACAACAAAGGCAGAGGAGGCUACAACAAUUCGACUGGUCAAAAUCAGCAAGAAAGAAACUGGUCAAAUCAGAGAAAACCCUGGAACCAAGGCAACCAAAGAGGUAGUGUUGCAGGUAGAGAAAGAGGUGGUGGUCAAAAGUCAAACAAGAGUCACAUUUAGUGUUACAAUUGUCAGAAGUAUGGUCACUAUUCUAGUGAUUGUCCAGAAAAGCAAAAGAAUCAAAAACCUUAUGCAAAGCUGGCGAAGCAUGAAGAAGAAGAGACACUGCCGAUGGUUACAACAAGAGAUGAAGAGAGAUUCAAGGAUCAAUGGUACUUGGACUCAGGAUGCUCAUCACACAUGUUCAGAAGGAAAGAUUGGUUUAUUAACAAAAAUCCCUCAAUGAAGAACAUGGUGAAAUUUGCAAAUGAUAACACUCUAGCAGCUGAAGGUUUUGGUGAUGUUCUGAUUAUUAGGAAAGAUGACAAGAGGUCAGUAAUUUCAACUGUGUUGUACAUACCAGGCAUGAAGUGCAAUUUUCUCAGCAUAGGGCAGUUAGUAAAAAAGAAAUACAAGGUGUCGAUAGAAGACAAGAUGAUGAGAGUUCUCGACUCAAAUGGAAGGUUGAUCUUGAAGGCUCCAACGUAACAGAAUAGAACCUUAAAGAUUGAGCUUAAUGUGAUGAAGCAUAAGUGCCUUGCAACAACAACCAAUAGAGAUGAAAGGAUAUGGCAUUAUAGACUUGACCAUCUCAAUUUCAAAGACAUCAGAGAUUUGAAGAAAAGAAAUAUGAUUUCAGGAUUACUAGAAAUCGACAUUCCAAACGAAGUGUGUGAAGAAUGUGUGCAAGUGAAGCAGCACAAGAACAACUUCAGUAAGGAUGCAGGAAGCAGGUCGAAGGCAAUUCUUGAAGUCAUAUACUCUGAUGUAUGUGGUCCUCUCCAGGUGGAUUCGAUUGGAGGUAACAAAUACUUUGUUACAUUCAUAGAUGAAACAACUUCAGUAAGGAUGCAGGAAGCAGGUCGAAGGCAAUUCUUGAAGUCAUAUACUCUGAUGUAUGUGGUCCUCUCCAGGUGGAUUCGAUUGGAGGUAACAAAUACUUUGUUACAUUCAUAGAUGUGUUCAGUCGAAAAUGUGGUCUUACCUGAUCAAGAAGAAAAGUGGUGAUCGAGGUAUUUUCCAAGUUUAAAUCUAUGGUCGAAAGACAGAGUGGUCAAAAGAUCAAGAUUUUGAGGACUGAUGGUGGUGGAGAAUAUGUGUCAAAAGAAUAUGGUUAGAAGUAUAUUGAAAGGCAAACAUCUACUCAAAGAGUUAUGGGGAGAAGUUGUGUCGACUGCGAGAUAUAUCAUGAAUAGAUGUCUGACAAAGAAGCUAGAAGGAAUCACGCCAGAGAAUGUUGGUCUGGUGUCAAGCCUAGCUUGAGUCAUCUGAAGGUGUUUGGAUCUAUAGCACAUAGACAUGUGCCAGAUCAGUUGAGAAGAAAACUUGAUGACAAGUCGAGUCAAAUGAUCCUGAUAGGAUAUCAUUUGACUGGAGGAUACAAGUUGUUCGACCUAGUGAAUAAGCAAGUGGUGAUACAUAGACAUGUGCCAGAUCAGUUGAGAAGAAAACUUGAUGACAAGUCGAGUCAAAUGAUCCUGAUAGGAUAUCAUUUGACUGGAGGAUACAAGUUGUUCGACCUAGUGAAUAAGCAAGUGGUGAUCAACAGGGACGUGAUCAUAGAUGAGCUUAAGGAAUGAGAUUGGACUAAGAAUGUUAAGAAGGAUUUAGUGAAAAUAUUUUGUGAUGAACCAACUAGUGAAGUUGAAAGAGAAGUUCUACAAGAAAUCAGAGGUGAAGCAGACCCAAGCAGACCUCAAAGAAAAAGACACAUCCCUACAAGAUUGCAAGAAUGCGUGAUUACAUCAGAUGAUGUGGUCAAUGAAGAAGGUGAGAUGGUACAUUAUGCUUUAUACGCAGAUGUCGAACCAGUCAAUGCAGCUGAGGCAUUGAAAUAUUCGAAGUGGAUGAAAGCAAUGAACGAAGAGCUGAAGUCAACCAAAGUUAACAACACUUAGUCACUUGUCGAAUUGCCCCAAGACAAGAAGGAAAUAGAUGUGAAGUGGGUAUAAAAUGUGAAGUUGAAUCCCAUAGGAUAAGUGACUCGACACAAGGCGAGACUUAUGGUGAAAGGAUUUCUUCAGAAAGAAGGAAUCGACCUUGAUGAAGUUUUUUCACCUGUUGUUAGGAUCGAAACAAUCAGGUUGGUUGUUGGUCUAGAAAACAUAAACAACAGACAUAUGUGUCAGAUGGAUGUGAAAUGUGCUUCCUGAAUGACCCCUUAGAAGAAGAAGUUUAUGUUGCACAAUCAGUUGGGUUUAUGAAACAAGGCAAAGAAAGAAAGGUGUACAGGGUGCAUAAAGCCUUGUACGGACUUAAACAAGCUCCAAGAGCUUGGAAUAAGAAGAUAGACGACUUUCUAAGGGAGAAGGAGUUUGUGAAGUGCAAAUAUGAACAUGGAGUAUAUGUAAGAAGAAGCAAGAGUAAAUUUAUUAUACUAUACCUCUAUGUCGAUGACUUGUUGAUAACAGAUAGUUGUAAGAAAGAGAUCGAAGACUUCAAAAGUGAUCUCAACAAGAAAUUCGAAAUGUCAGAUUUAGGUGACAUUUCAUAUUUCCUUGGCAUCAAAUUCUACAAGAGUGGUAGAGGUUUGGUGAUGCAUCAAAGAAAGUAUGCAUGCGAAAUACUCAAGAGGUUUGAGAUGCAAGAUUGCAACCCAACUUCGACUCUAGAUGAGCCUAGAUUAUAACUGUCGAAAGAUUCAGAUGAAGAUGAUGUCGAUCCAAACCAAUAUAGAAGAAUUAUUUGGUCACUUCGAUACCUUUGUCACACAAGGCCUGACUUAGCAUACAAUGUAGGAAUCGUGAGUAGUUUCUUGCAGAGGCCAAAGGUGUCACAUCUAGCAGCGACGAAGAGGAUACUAAGGUAUCUGAAAGAAACUCUCGACUAUGGUAGUUUAGUUCCUGCAGCUGAUGAAGGAAAAGAAUGCAAAUUAGGGGGAUACACUGACUCAAGUUGGUGUAGUGAUGUUGAGGAUCGAAAAUCCACAGUUGGCUAUGUGUUUAUCCUAGGUGGUGCACCAGUUGCUUGGAGUUCGAGAAAGGAUCCAUUAGUGGCAUUAUCUUCGUGUGAUGCAGAAUACAUAAUUGUUUCCCUUUGUGCAUGUUAAGAAACGUGGAUGGUGAAUAUGGUCGAAGAGAUAACAGCGAAGAGUCAUGGAGCAAUUACCAUGAGGAUCGACAACAUGUCAGCUAUAAAUCUGGCGAAGAAUCCGAUAGCACAUGGUCAAAGAAAGCACGUCAAGAUGAGGUUCCAUUAUCUUCGAGGGCAAGUAACAGAUGGGAAGAUGAAUGUGGAACACUGCAGAACUGAGAAUCAGAUUGCAGAAAUCAUGACGAAGGGAGUGCAGGUCGAAGUGUCUAGAAGACUAAGAGCUAUGAUGAAUGUAGAUAGCUUAGACGCAAUGAAUUAGGUGGUGUAUUGAAUCAUAGUUCCUUGUGUCGAAGCAAGUUGCUCGACAGAAGCAAGGAAGUGUCGAAUCACCUAGUGUCUUGAGUUGUAUUAGUGUCGAAGUAUCGAAGCAUGUUGCUUCACACAAGAUUUUGACUUAGGCAUAUUUUUUAUAGUGUUAACUAUUUUGGGCUUUUAUAGUUUUGGGCUUUGACUUGGGGUGAAAGCUAACCUAAAUCUAUAAAUAGAUGGAGUAACCCUUAUUCUUGUAAUAAAAUGAAUAGAGCAUUCAUAACAUUUUAUUCACAGUAUUUUGUAGUUGCAAAAUGAAUAAGAAGUUUUCCACAGUUUGUGGGCAGAGAGAAACUCUGCAGAAUUUUAUUACUCUUCUUUUUCGUUCUUUCUUUCUUUCUUUAUCCAUUAUUAUUAUCUUUUCAUUGUUAUUAUGUGGGUGAUGACAAUCUUGUUCGUCAAGAUUGAUUGAAAUUCUCCAUAGGUUGUGGUGGAUUUCCAACAAAUCUGACAGGCAAAUGAUUCCAUCUAUUCCACCUGUAUAAAAAAAUCAGUAUCAUAAAUCUUUAGAUGCAUGUCUUAGGAUUCUUUGGUAAUUAAAAUAUUGUUACUGUAAAAUACAUUCAUAAUUUGGUGACAUACACACCCUAUAGGAGGAGUUCCAGCAAGACCAUUAGCAAGAAGUGACAUAAAUAAGCAAAAGGGUCACCAAAACCACCACUGUCUCAAUCUUUAUCCCCAUUUUCGACACUCUUUACCAGCAAUUAUGAGAAAAUAGAAAUAAUCAAAAUAAAUGUGUUUUGAAAUAAAGAGAAAACAUAUUUUACUCCUCCAUGAUGUAAAUCUUUUUUUCAUAAAAAAUUUCUAGAUAUAAAAAAGAAAUAUACAUGAAAAAGAAAACAUUAAAAAUGACAAUAACAAUGGAAAUAAAUGGGUAUGUACAGAUUGAUUUUUACCUGGUUCAACUUUGGGAUCUGAAAUGAAACAAUAACAACAACAAUGUUAAAUGUUCAAAACUUAGCCCCAAAAUAAAGAGUCAUGUAAAUGAAGCUGAAAAGAAAAAAAAACGAAACUAAAACGAAAAUGAGAGGAAAAUUAGUUUGAAGUUUAUACUGAUGAAAUAUUUGUUGAAAAAUUGAAAUCGAUUAGAGAAAUAGCCAAAGCAGUAGAGGAAAAUGGGUUUGGAAUGAAAUUUGGUGAAUAUAAAAUAGCAGUGCUAUCUGAGGCGAAGGAAGGUGGAAAAGCAAUACAAAAGCAAAACUAAAGGUCCGCAAAACAUUAGUUGAAAAUCAGAAAAUCAGAAGGCAUGGUGUUAGCAUGGGAAAUAGGAAUGAAUAUUUAAUAUAUUUUAAUUAUGUUUAAUAGAAAAAGUCACAAGGCAGAACGAAGUAUAAUAGCAUUCACCAGACCAAUAAAUUUUGAAAUUAGCAAUGACGUGGCCGCAUUAGGAAGAAGCAGGGAUUGAGUUGUAACUUCCAGAGCAUAAACUCUUCUUAUAUGAUAUAUAUUAAUAAUUAAAUAUAUAUUUAAUUAAAAAAUUAUUCACAUUUUCUCUUCAUUUUAGUGAUGUUAGUUACAUCAUAGUCUUUCCUUCAUUUUCCUCGUUGCUUACCGUUAAUUAAAUGUUGUCGUUUCAUCGUUGUCUAACCGGCCACGGCGCCCUUAAUUAAUUUAUCUAAUCUUUGCUAUGAGACACUAAUUUGCAAGACCAAAAGUAUUACAAGUUUACAACCUACAGUUUUCUCAGAGGAAUUUUUAGUUUUUCUGUCAAAUUUUUCUUCAAAGGAAUAUUGAGAGUCUCAUGAAUGAAAUUUCAAUGAAAAACAAAAUUACUUUUUAUAUAGAUAAAAUUUAUUUAUUUUACCGUGCUCUCGUUUGAUCUAAAGAGUUAUGACGCAGUCGGAAACAUUGCGGAUUAACAAGCGCUAAACCUAAAACAAAACACAAGUUUGCAAGCGAAAUACCUGUCAUAUAAAGCUCUAGAAUCCACCAGAAAGAGAAAAGAAACUCUUGAAUUUUAUUAAGAUUAAAGAUAACCUUGGCGGCCACACCCAAAGGUUUUUAAAUACUGAAAAAGAAAGUUUAAUGGGCUUUCAAUCCAAAACAAAAAUAAAAUAGAAAAAAGAAACCAUAAUGGGAUUUUAAUUAAAAUAAAUAAAUAAAUUAGAAAAUUGCAAAAAAUAUUUAAAUGUUGUUUUUGAGCCUGAAACAAACAUGGAUGGCUUAAAAAUCCUUUCUGCAUCAGUCUAUUCCACCUCUAAAGAACUCGACUCUGAGUUCUCUUUUGCCUAAGAGCCUCAUCUUCUUGAUAUUCAUGAAUGUCGGUGACACUAAAAGUAUUGGAUAUAUUCAUGAAAUAUGGGAGAGUUACCACAUAAACAUUAUCAUUGAUCUUUCGGGUUACUUUGAAUGAGCCAUACUUACGUGGUUGCAGCUUGCUGUAAAUACCAACUAGAAACCUCUCCUUACGCAUAAACACCAUCACAACGUCUACCAUAUUUAAAGCUUUAACUUUCUGACAUUUAUCUCGCAUAAGAGGCAAAUCGUUUGGUAGCUCAUAUGCGGUAAAUCACUUGAAAUCAUCUAGGAUCCCUAACACUUUUUUUGGAAUUGUUGUUUCCACCUUUAUAACACCCAUCAACCCUUUAGUCACCACUUGACAAAAAUAAAACAGUUUCUUUAACAGCCUCAUCAAGCUCCUUUUCACUAUGUGUCAUCACCAAGAAACUAGACUUCUUUCCUCUUGAAUUCUUAUCAAAAUGCAAAACAUAAGUCGUAACAACUUUAUAUGUGCCACAUGUAAACAUCAUCAUAUUAUUUCGUCCUCAAUAAGUGAUAUCAUUAUCAAAAUUUCAAUUCCUACCAAGUAAAAUAUGACAAACAUUCAUAUCAAGAACAUCACAAAAUACAUCUUCUCUAUAAUGUUUUCCGAUGGAGAUAGAAACUCUGCAAGCUAGUGUUACUCGAACUUAGGAGCAUGUGCUUACCCAACCGAGGGUGUAUGACUUCUCAUGGGCUUAUGUGGAUAACUUAAAAUAUUAUACCAAUUUAUGUGACACCUGAUUCUUCAUGUUGCCACUAUCGCACUCAAAUUACACACCUUGUUGAUAGAACAAAUUCUUGCGCUUCCUUUCAUCUUUGGAUGCUAGUAAAAUUCUCUGCAACAUAAAAUUUACCCUCUUAUCAUAUUCUUCCUCUGCAAACUCAACCCUUGCAUAUUCAUCGUUCUCAACUGCAUGUCCUACUUUUUCCUCUUCCUCUUCCCAUUCUUCUGCAACAACAAUGACUCUCCUUGUUGGACAAGCAUUUGAUAUGCGACCUCUUCCAUUACAAUGAUGUGGGUUUAGCAUAUUAUGUAUUCUACCUCUUAAUUGGUGAUAUACCCUGUUUGACACCGUUAGGGCUGUUAGUCCCCUUACUCUCAAGGUUGGAACCCCUGGUUGUUGCAUUUUUUCCUUGUCGCCUACUGAUUCAAAGGUAUUCUUGGGCGAAUACCUAAAAGGUGAGAAAUUCCGAGGGGAUUUCUCCAUCAAUUUUGCCUUCAAAUCUAGACAGGGUGCCUUAGCCACAAUCCAUAUAGACUGCAAACCGAUCUUCUCAUGCAAAGAUCCGUUUAAGCCAUUGAUGUAUUGAGCUACCUUCUGACUCUAUAAUUCUCCCAGUUCAUUAUGCUUAGAGAAACGUAGGAACUCAAUUGUGUAUUCUAUUAUAUUUCACUUUCCUUGAACACACUCAAUAUACAUCGUAUAAAGAAUUUUCUCACAAACCUCUGGUAAAAACCACUCUAGCAUCAAUUGUUUCAUUCUUCGCCAAGAUCUGGCCGACCAUUUUCUUGGCCUCUACCUUUGAGCAACAAAUUUAUUCCACCAUACAACAACAAUACUAUUCAGCCUGAUCGCCACCAUCUUAACUUACUUUUUCUCAGGGACGCCCAUGAAGUCGAAGAAUCUAUCAACGUCGAUUUGCCAAUCCAUAAAUUCCUCCAUUCUCAUCGUUUCAUAGAACAAUGAAAUAUCAAUAUUCACUCUAUUGUCAUGGUUAUUUUGUCGAUUCCCAUGACCAACCUCUACCUCGUAGUGUUCUUCUUCUUCAGAACCCAAAUUUUUAGCAGUAAUAAUACAAUUGUUUCCAUCCCGUGGAACCCUAAUUUGUUCCUUUCUCGUGUCUCUUCGCUAGUUCCUUUGUUAUUGGCGUUGUUCACAUGAGUAGUUAAAGUCAUCAUUUGUUCAGUUAAAAUAGUUAACGUCAUGGUAAAAGCCACAGUAAUAUUACCCUCAAGGUCUGCUAUGGUCAUUGGUGAUCUCCCAUGUAUGAUCAAGCUACAAAAAUAAACAAGAGAAAACCUACUCUGAUGUCACCUGGCGCAGUCAAAGACACUAUAGAUUAGCAAGCACUAAACGUAAAACGAAACACAAGUUUGCAAGCGACAAACCUAUCAGAUAAAGCUUUGGAAUCCACCAGAAAGAAAAAAAAACUCUUGAAUUUUAUUAAGAUAGAAGAUAACCUUGACGGUCACAUCCAAAGACGUUUAAAUACAUAAAAAGAAACCUAAUAAACUUUUAAAAUAGAUUUAAAAAAAAUCUUAAUGGGUUUUUAAUCCAUCAAAAAAUAAAUAAAAUAAAAAAUUACGAAAAUAUUAAAAUUUUAUUUUAGGAUUUGAAACAAACUCUCAUGAUUUAAAAAGUCUUCCUAAAGCUAUUAUACACAAAUUUAAUUAAAAUUAAAGAAGAUAAUGUCAUAUUUGAUGUUUGAUAAUGAUGUUGGUUAAACAAUAAUUAGCAGUAAUAGGACUAACAAGAGGAAAAGGGAAGAACGGAAAUAUUUUUCUGAGUACGAAGGAAUCUAGAAACGGGAAAUAGGAAAAGGGAAAACCUGAAAUUUAUUUUAUAUUUUAAAUUAAACCAUUAUUAUAAUAAAUUGUUAUUAUAUUAGUCUCAACUUUUAUAAAUCAUUUCUGCCACAUGUCUAACAUCCAUGAUCAUAAAUGGAGUAAAUGGAAUAUAUGCUAAAUGGAGUCUGAAAUACAACAUACAUACAAAUAAUUAUUCCAUUGUGGAAUAGAAAAUCAAUGAUGAGUUGGUAACAUCCACUAUAAAAGGUCUCCAAUACUUACGGUGGUAGAAGUAAUAUAAAUGGAUGAUUGUGAUGCAUUGACAGUGUAAAUAUUUUUUACACUGAUAGUGCAUAACAAUUAAUCUCAAUUUAAUAUGUCAAAGAUAAAUAUCAUAUGGAUGUGUGUCUAAGGAAUAACUAUUAAAAUAUAUUGAUUAACCGAGAGAUUGUUAAAAUAUUUAAUUUGAAAAUAUGUUCAAUAAUAUUAUGUGGAGAUAUACAUUUAAGUUAAUUAGAUUAGCUAUUUAUUAAUAGUGAGACUUAAUUGAUUUAUGUUAAAAGUUGUAAUUAAUUUUCUGUUGAAAGCUAUGUCGAAGUAGUUAGUCGAGGUGUAUGAGUCAGCCAUAUUCGACUAAGUCGAAUACAUAAUAUAGUUUUAAUGUCGUAAUAUAAUUUGUAACUUUGUAUAUUACAUUUUGUAUGUUUAGAGUUUGGAUUAAUUUGUAUAGUUUUGGGUGUGAGCUUUAGUUGCCUAUAUAAAGGGCAUAGUAUGAUGUAAAUAACAACUUUACUCAAUAAUAUUUUUCUUUUUUUACAAUUAAGUUUCUAUCUCUUUUCUCUCUCUCUUCUUCUUCUCCCAACUUUCUUGAAAAUCCUUUGUUUCAACAAAUUGGUAUCAAAGAGCCCAGGUUGCGAUUUAGAGAGAAACUAUAAUAGAAAACAGAAACACAACAUCAACGCAGUUUCUAGCGAAUCUACCGGUUUUAAAAGGGGAGAACUACGAACAGUGGAUUGCGCAGAUGAAGGUCAUCUUCAGAUUUUAAGAUAUGGUUGAAAUCAUGAGCGAUGGAGUAACGGCAUUGGAAGAGAAUGGGAACGAUGUUCAUCAAGAUGCUCACAAGGAACGAAGAAAGAAAGAUGGAAAAAGUUUGUUCUUGAUUCAACAGUGUGUGGAUCCUAACAUGUUCGAGAAGAUAAGUGAAUAAGAAAUAGCUAAAGGAGCGGGGGACAAGUUAAAGAACUUGUACGACAUAGAUGAAAAGCUAAAAAUGGUGAAGUUGCAGACGUUGAGAAAGUAAUUUGAGAUGACUCAGAUGAAGGAAGAUGAAUUAGCCUCGAAAUACCUUUCACGUGUGGUGGUCUUUACGAAUCAGAUGAAGUCAUGUGGUGAAUCAAUCAACGAUUUGUAGAAGAUUAAGAAAGUGUUGAGAUAUCUGACUGUAAAUUUUGAUUAUAUUGUAGUGUCUAUUGAAGAGUCCAAGAACAUAGCUGAGAUGAAGUUGGAAGAACUUCAAGCUUCAUUAGUAGCUCAUGAGAUGAGGCUGGAGCAGAGGAACUCAGAAAGGUAGAAGGUGGUCGAAAUGCAAGCAAGAUUCAUCAAUAAAUAUGGAAACGAGAAGGAAAAGCGGAGAAAGAAUCUUGUUAAUGAAAAGAAGUCAAGCAAGAACUCAAAGAAUCACCCUGAUUCGAUUAAUAAAGGCAUGAGCAACAAGUAUUAUGGGAAGAAAGUUGACAUGAAGGAGGUGUUGUGUUACAACUGUCAAGGAUUUGGCCACUAUGCUCGAGACUGUCGAAGAAAGAAGGAAGCACAAGAAAAAGACAGUGAUGAAGUAAAGUGUACACAUGCUAAAGAUAAUGAUUAUGAGGAUGUGGUACUCAUGACCAACACUCAGUCGAAAACUGAGCAAACCAACAUGUGGUACUUGGAUUCAGGAUGUAGUAACCACAUGACUGGUAAUAAAAGUUGGUUCACCAAGCUAGAUGAAUCAGUUGAGAAAGUGAUAAAGUUGACAGAUGGCAGGCACAUCACAUAAGGUGGAAAAUGAGAUAUCUCUGUUGUCAGAAAGGAUGGUCGAAACUCCAGCAUCACGUAUAUGUUGUACGUACCUUCAAUGACAAGUAACUUGAUAGGCGUAGGUCAAUUACUUGCAAAAGGGUACAACAUAAAGCUAGAAAAGAAUCAGAUGACGUGUAUCAUGGUGAUGGAAUCAUGAUUAUGAAGGAACCAUUGGUAGACAACAUGACCUUCAAAGUAGAAAUCAACACGGUUGAUCACAAGUGUCUUGCUUCGACUGCAGAAGAAGAUAAGAACUGGCUAUGGCAUCACAUGGAUAGACAUUUAAACUUCAGAAGUUUAGGUAUGCUCUACCAGAAGAAGACGGUGUUUGGCUUACCUCAUGAAAGGGAACCAAGUCAGGUAUAUGAAGAAUUUUGCAAAGCAAAGCAAAUUAGGAAAGCAUUCAAACAUUACUUGCCUACGAGGUCGAAGGAAAAGCUGGAGCUAGUUCACUUUGAUGUGUGUGCAUCAUUUGAAGUAAGGUCGAAUGACGGUAACUACUAUUUCCUAACCUUCGGAGAUGAAUUCACUAGAUAUAUGAGAGUUUACCUUAUUGAAAGGAAGGGUGAGGUAUUCACACAGUUCAAGAAGUUCAAAUUGCAUAUCGAAAAGAAAAGUGGAUGCAAGUUGAAGAAAUUGAGAACUGAUGGUGGUGGUAAAUACACUUCCCAAGAAUUUGCUAGAUUUUACAAUGAGGAAGAUAUAAAGAAUGAGGCCAUUGCACCCUAUACACCUCAGCAUAAUGGCAUAGCUGAGAGGAAGAAUCGAAGUAUAUUGAACAUGACUAUGAGCAUGUUGAAAGCUAAAGGUACGCCAACGAGAUUUUAGGGUGAAGCAACUUUGGCAGUACUAUACAUUCUAAACAGAUUUCGAACCAAGAAGAUAGUCGAGAGGACUCCUUAUGAGACUUGGACAUGUGUGAAGUUGAAUGUUAGUCAUCUUAGAGUGUUUGGAUGAAUAUGCUUCAAGCAUGUACCUGAACAAUUGAGGAAGAAGCUAGAUGAUCGAAGUCAAACCGUGGUGCUCAUAGGUUAUCAUUCGACUGAUGCAUACAAUAUGUAUUCACCAAAUAAUGAUAAACUUGUGAUCAAUCAAGAUUGUUCUACUGGAUGAAAGCAACGGGUGGGAUUUGAGUCAAGGGUCAGUUCGACAGUAGUCAGAUACAGUUACAAUUGUAUUUGAAGAAGACCAAAAAAUUGAACUCCCAACCAAUCGAAAUGAAGAACCACCUGAGAAGAAUGUUAGGAGAUCGAUUAGAGAAAGAACUGAGUUGACAUGGCUAGCUGGAUAUGAGAGAUUUUCAAAUCAAGCAGUCGUUGCAGAUGGUAACUUAAUAGAAGAGGUGAUGAUGAUGGUUGAAGCAUAACCAAUCAAUUUGGAUCAAGCAAUGAAUGAUUCAAAUUGGUUAGCAGCCAUGAAAGAAAAACUCAGGGCAAUCGAGAAGAACACGACCUGGGAGCUUGUCGAUGAGUCAAUCAAGAAGCCAAAUGAUGUGAAGUGGGCUUACAAGCUGAAACGAAGGCCAAAUGGUGAAAUUGCCAAGCAUAAGCCAAGACAAGUGGUGAGAGGUUUUAUUUUCAAAAACCUGAUAUUGAUUUCGACGAAGUGUAUGCACCUGUGGUGAGGAUGGAAACCAUCAGAAUUAUUGUGUCGAUAGCAACAUACAGAGGAUGGAAGAUAAACCAGUUGGAUGUAAAAUCAGUAUUUCUGGAUAGACCUUUGGAAGAAGAAACAUAUGUCAGUCAACCACCAGAAUUCAAAAUCAAAGGUCAGGAGUCGAAGUUUUACAGAUUGAGGAAGGCUCUCUAUUGUUUGAAGCAAGCCUCAAAAGCUUAGAAUAAAAGAAUAAAUAACUUCCUGAUUGAAGCCUGUUUCAGAAAGUGUGUCUCUGAACAUGGAGUGUAUAUCAUUGAUGCAGACAGGGUCAAUCGAAUCAUCAUAUGCCUAUAUGUAGAUGACUUGUUGAUUACAGGUGAAGAUGAAACAAAGAUAAGAAGAGUUAAGUUGAAACUGAUGCAGAAGUUUGAAAUGUAUGACCUAGGGAAUUUGUCAUAUUUCUUAGGGAUGGAAUUUAAAGACACGAGUGAAGAAGUGUUCAUGCAUUAUGCCGAAGAUAUCUUGAAGAGGUUCAAGAUGAGCAACUGUAAUAUAGUUGUUACACCAUUAGAGUAAAUUUGAAGAAGGAGACAUAUGACGAGUUUGUGAGGGAAACAUUGUACAAAAAAAUCACUGGAUCCUUGAGGUAUCUUUGCAACACCAGGCCAAAACUUUGUCAAACUAUCAGAUUGUUAAGCAAAUUCAUGGAGAAACCUCAAGAAUGCCAUCUCACUGCAGUCAAGAGAUUGCUGAGAUACAUCAAAGGUGAUUGAUCAUGGUGUGUUGAUGACAAGACGAAAGAAGACCAUUAUGCAUGCAGAGGUAUGUGGCUACACUGAUUCAAAUUUCAAUAGAGGUCAAGACGAGAAGAAGAGUAUUGCAGGCUACAUAUUCAUGAUCGAAGGCGCUCCAAUCUCAUUGAGCUCAAGGAAGAAAAUCAUUGUGGUUUUGUCAUCAUGUGAAGCUGAGUACGUGGUUGCAUCAUAUGCAACAUGUCAAACAUGGUGGAUAGAGAUGUUGUCGGAAGAACUGAAGAUAAUGGAACCUAAGAAAAUGAAAUUGUUUGUUGACAACAAGUCAGCAAUCGACCUGACGAAUCAUCCGUGUGUCAUGGUCAAAGUAAACACAUAGAGAGGAAGUAUCAUUUUCUUAGCGAUCAAGUUAACAAAAGAAAGCUUGAACUUGAGUAUUCCAAGACAUAAUAUCAACUAGCUGACAUACUCACCAAACCCCUGAAGAAAGUUAGGUUCGGCGAGUUAAAGAGAAGCAUCAGGAUGAGAAGUCUCGAGAACAUGAAUUAGGGGGGGUGUUAGAAGUUGUAAUUCGAUGCUUUGUUGAAAGCUAGCAUUCGACUAUGUCAAAGUAGCUAGUCGAGGUGUAGGAGUCAGUUGUAUUCGACUGAGUCGAAUACAAUAUAUAGUUGUAAUGUCAAAAUGUAACUUGUAAUUUUGUACUUUUCAUUUUGUAUGUUUUGGACUUGAUUCGAUUUAUAUAGUUUUGGAUAUGGACUUUAGUUGCCUAUAUAAAGGGCACAGUAUGAUUAAAUAACAACUUCACUCAAUAAUAUUUUUCUUUUUUACAAUUCCGUUUCUAUCUCUUUUCACUCUUCUUCUUUUUCUCCUACCUUUCUUGAAAACUCUUUGUUCCAACAAUUUAAUGAUCAAACUUUAUAAUUGAGAUAAUUGAAUUUCUAUUAAAAAAUUUAAUUUUUCAUUAUUUAUUUAAUUAAUUAAAAUAAAUUAAAAUAUGAGUAAAUGUCUGAUGACCUAUUUUAGGAUAAUGAAAACUUCAAUGGACCAUCACCUAUAAAUAUUUUAGGUGGCGCUUAGUUUGGACUCACCGAUUUUUGUUUUUUCUUAUUUAAACUUAUUAAAAAGAAUCAAUCUUCAUCAUCAUCUUUCAUCAUCCAUAAAAAUCUAAUUCUUCCUUCAUAUUCAUCUUCCAUCAUUUUUGAAAAAUCCAAAUUCACCAUCAUCUUCAUCUUUCAUCAUCCUUAAACACUCAGUUUCACACUCGUUAUCAUCAUCAUCAUCAUUUUUCAUUAUCCUUAAAAACUCAUAUCCUUAAAUAAUCUUCAUCUACCAACACCAUUUUUAUCUCAAAAUUCUAAAACAAACAAUAAUCUUAACAAAUAUUGGAAAAAAAAUCCAUAUCUAAAACAAAUUUUAUCUUCAUAUCUAAUAUUUUUUCUUUUGAUUAAAAUCACUUCUCUUUAAAUCUAAGAUUUUCUAUCUUAAAUUAGAAAAAGGAACAACAAAUAUAGAUCUGAAAUUAAAAAAAUUACUCUCUUUCCAAAUAUUUCUGAUUUGAAAUUGAAAAAAAAACUCUUUAUUUACCUAUUAAAAAAAUUUACAUAUCUAAAAUUGAAAACUACAUGCAUGUGUGCCGGAUCUAAAGGCAUCUGAAAUCUAUAAUUUUCUAAUUAUAAUUUUUGUAAUUUUCAAUUAUAUGAAUGAAAAUCAAGAUGGUGAAUUUUAAAUUCCAAAUUAUUUUAGUUUUGUUGUUAAAGUAUUGAUCCAAAUUAAAACAAUGAUGAUAAAUUAUUAGUAAUGAUUCUAAUUUAUGUCAUUGAUGAGUACAAUUAUGAUCCAAAAUGUAUGUUCAGGAUUUGAACAAAGCUUCCUUAAAAUGUAACUCGGAUUUCAUAUAGAGAGAAACUAAUAUACAUGUGAUUAAGUAUAUGCUUAAGACAAAAAAAACUAAAUUGAUAACUCAUAUAAACUAAAUAAUAAUCGUUGAUAAUUUUAUGAUGUUUUGGGCAAAAUAUUAUUUAUCACCAAUAAACCCUGCCGACACAACAAAAAGGGCACAAAAUUGUUUGGUAAUCUUUCUUGGAUUUGAGAUCAUGCUUUAUACUUUUCAUACAAAUUAACAAAAGUAUACAUUCUAUGUCGCGUCACUUUAGAUUAUUUUAUAAUUAGAUCAUGAAAAUUGCAAAUAUAUCAACAUCACAUGGUCUUGCAAAGAAAUUUUCUUCCAAAUUUAAAACAAUCUUUUAGUGAAAUUUUUUAAAUUGAAUAAAAUAUUAAGCAUUUGUAGACCAAUAGUUGAAUUUAGUGACGAUAUACAAUAAUUUUUAUCAGCUUAUCUAAAGAAAUAUUUAUCAUAUAUUUAUAAAAAAAAAAACUACUUUGACAACCAUUUUCAAUGACAACUUAAUUAUUUGUCACUAAAUAUUACUCUUACUUAUAGAUGAACAAUUUAUCAUUUUCUUUUCUUUAUAAAAGAAUAUAUAAUAAAAUUUUAAUUUUAUUACACACAAAUUCGUAUUAAGAGAAAAUUUCACUAUUUAAAAAAGACAACCAAACAUAAUUUUCCCAUUAGUAUUUUAAAUAUUUUUAUUUAUUAUAUUAUUAAAUUAUUUUUUGUUUUAAAAUAAAAUAAAAUAAGAUUGAUAUCUUUUUAAUUAUCUUUUCUCUCUCACAUUUCACGAAAAAAAAUAGUACAAUUACUUAACAACAUAAAAUUUAUUAAAAAGUAGAAAGAAAGCAAUCUAUUAAAAAACCAUUUGAAAAGUUUCAAUUUUGUAAGCUCAUUCACCAUUCUCCUUCGUAUAGUUGAAAAUCAAUCAUUUCCUUUUUAUCGAAGUUUCAUUGAUCGAAAUUGCGAAAUCAGAACUUCUCCUUCAUUUACUGUUCAAAAUAACUUAUUCUUUUUUCUUUAUAAGUGUAACAAGAUUGAACUGUAAAUUUGAGAAAAAAUUCUUCAAACGAAUGAGAUUUAAUUAAAAAAUAAAACAAUUAUCUCAACUAUUAAAUUUUGAAAAUUUUGCAACAAUUUUGUAGAAAGUCGAAGAAGCAAAAUAACUAAAUAUAAAUUCAAUAGCAAUAGCAAGUAAUAAAGAAAGGAAUGAAUGCCUUAAUGUUUUUCUAAAUAUUCUGAAAUUGAUUUAAAUAUAUUUAAUAUUUGCAACCAAAUCAAUAUCUUGUAAAUUCAAAACAAAUUAGAACUUAAUGAUAAUUAUAUUUAUGAAAAAUUGAAAUUGAACAUCAACUGUACCUUUGAAUUAGUAAACAAUGAACAUUGAAGAUCGAUUGUUGUGAACAAAGAACAAGAAGUUAUUACUGUUCUAUAGAAUUAUCCAAACGAGACUUAAUGUUGCUCUAAAUUUUCACGUGUCUGAAACAAUGUUUCUCCCUAACAAAACUUUGAGUUAGAAUACUAAGAUCAGCUGUUCCAGACUCAAACCAUGCUUAAAAAAGUUUGAAGUUAGCGACUCUACAUCUAUAUUUUGAUGAGGUUGUUCUUUAUUGUAUGUUGUGAUCUAAUUUGGUUGUCUUUGAUUGUUGGUAACUCUUGGAUAUGCUCUGUAAUUUCAGUUGUUUCUUUGAGUUAUGUGCAACAGUUGGCAUAGGUUUAUUUUUCUACUAAAUUGAUAUAAUUGGGUUCAAUAUAUUGCAGGUAUACAUAGAGUGCCCAAUGAUGUAAAAAUUUGUGUAGAAUUAUAUCCACUCUUGUAUUCCCAGGCCAAGUAUAGAUUUGUAUCCACAUUUGUGCAUGUGUUUUAUUUCUAUUGCGUGUGUUAAAUCCUUUGCCUAAAAAGGCCAUCUAUGGCCUAGGGACUUGGUAUGAGAAACUGCACCAUAUCAUUCUGCAGUUUGGUUUCAUUUCCAGCAAAUAUGGAAGGUGCAAAUGGAGUUAACACUCCUAUGUUCAGUCAACGCAAACUGAACAAACAUGGCACGAAUAUCAUCUCUGAUUCAACACACUAUAGAUCAAUUAUUGGAGCUCACGAGGCCAAACAUUUGCCUACAGUGUAAGCAAAGCAUGCCAAUUCAUGUCUCAGCCACCGGAUCCUCACUGGAGUGAACUCAAACGGAUCGUUCGCAGUGGUAUUGCACAUCAUGGUUUAGUGUUAAAGCCAACAUAAUCUUCGUAUAAGGUCAUUAUUCGUGUUUAUAGUGGCUCCUACUAGAUCAGUGAUCCUGAUGAUAGGAGAUCCACAACAGGUUCAUGUGUGUAUUUUGGUCCAAAUCUUAUUUCAUUGAGCGCAAAGAAAUAAUCACUAGUGGCACGAUCGAGCAUUGAAGCCGACUAUCGCGCACUUUCUCACACAACCUCAUAAAUCUUAUGGAUUGAAUCACUACUAUCUGAACUCCAUGUUCCAUAUCAAACUCUUGUGUUACUAUGUGAUAAACUACUUGACAAAAAAUAAAAACUUCAACAUAGACAUCCCACCCUAAGUAGUUCGAGGUCUUUCGCUAAAAUCAAUAUUACACCACUAUCUUUUUUUUGGAUGGAAAAAUUAAUCCUCUUAAAACUUAUAUUCAAUGUCCUAGGUGACACAACGUUGUUAUGCAUGAGCAUUUGCACUUGAUAAAUGAUUCAUUGCUUCUUGUGCUAGAAAAUAAAAAGUGUCAAAACCAAAUAGUAUGAAAUCAUAUUAAUUACCAAUACAUGUUUUCUCAUGCUUAACCACUAAUUAGAUAAUUAUGAUACAAGUUACCUACUAUCACAAUUUUUCUAGCAAGGUUAUGGCAACAAUAUCACUUGCUUCUUAAUAAAAUUUAUUUUAAAGUUUUGACAAAUAAUUAUAAGAUUAAUAUAAUUAUAAUAAAACAAAAAGAUAAAAAAAAAUAUUAUUAUUUGAGUGAUUAAUACUAUCGUCUAUUGAUUUGAUUGAAUUUGACGAUUUGAACAUUAGUGAUAUAUUUGCCAACAACUGAUGUUCUGUGGUUCUCAGGGAUAAGGGUAUACUAAUAAAUACUUCAACAAUUAAGUUAAUGGAAAUUCUGAGUGUCAAAUUUAGAAUUUUACAGUAAAGUUUUAGGGUUUAGAGACCCUAGAAAUUUCUUUAGACAAUUACUUUUGGAGAAGGUGUCAAGAGAUCCUUCAAGAUUUCUUCUAUGACUACCAAAUAAUUUGCAUAUCCUAAUGCCAAUUAAAAGGGUCUUAAGAUGUCCAUUUCAUACUAGGAGAAAGACGUUUAUCAGUAUGAUUAGUAAACAAUCAUGAUUUUAUUUCACUUAAGAGAUUAAACUAGAGAAUUCUCGAGGACAAAUUUGUGCAUGAAUGUUUUAAGAAAAUUGUGUUUAAAAUGGUGGUUUUGUUUAAAUUCGUGAGAACUCAAGAACAACAUGAAGAAAAUGGAAAUGUGCAGAAAAAUAUGAAUACUUAGAACGAAAAGCUAUAAGAAUGCAAUUAAAAUAGAGAAGAUAAUGAAAUAAACUGAAAACAAAGUGUUUGCAUUAACAUAAAAUGGUGCACAUUGAAGCUAGCGGAAAUAUACCUGAACGUAUCACACGCUCGAACAUACAACAUAGUCGCCAUCGAACUUUAUUUAUCCCCAAAGGGAAGGAAAAACAUCGAUAAAACCCAGGGGAAAGAGAUAUACUGGGUAAGGAAGUCGGUUAUGCAAGGGGAAGGUAUUAGCACCCCAAACAUCCAUGGUACUCCAUGGGAACCGUUUUGAUUGUUCUCGCUCGAAUAGGUGUGAGAUCUAAGAUUACUCGCAAAAUAAUGAAGAAAAGGAAAUAGAUAGAGUGCUCUGUGAGGAUUGGGGCCCUCAUGCCUACGUAUCCUCAUAGUGCAAUGAAGAAUUCAGAGCUUCGUAGUUCGAAGAACUAGAGGCAGGAGAUGGAAAGAAAUGUGAUCAAAGUAUGGUCUGAACCAAAGAAAACUGUUUUGAACUCCAAAAAGGGUGAAAAGAUGAACCCAAGAGUAAAGCGGCUAUUACCAAUACGUGGACUAGCAGGCCGCCACUAUAAGAUAAAGCCGAAAAGAUGAAGAAAUAGGUGUUUGGACGCAGUCCCAAAUAUCUCUUGGUUCACAAGGUGACGCAAGAAGGAGUGCAAAGAUAUAGCGUAUUUGACUCAAAGAUAACUAGUUUAUCACAUGGAGUGAAAGAAGGUAGAAUAUGAAUGUAUCAUGGAGAUGAAUGGAAGAAUUCCCUAGGGCAGGAGUGAUAAAUAAGUAUGCUCGCGGAUGAUUCGAACCCUCGUGCCUACGUAUUCUCAUCGUGCAAUGAGAAAAUCAGAGCAAUCGUAGUUCAGCCCACUAAGGCUGAAAAGAAAGAGAGAUUCGAUAGGAUUGCCCAGAGGCGAGGUAGCUAGACUGCUUAACAAGCAAGGACGUCGUACUAACCGAUGAUGGUAAUCAACCACAAGGACAAAUGAGAUAUUGCCAGAGUCUGAACUCCAUAGGGCAAGAUAGAUGAGUGCCAUAGUCUGAACUAAAUACAAGGCCAGAAAUGGAUUCCCAGAGUCUGAACUCAAAGGGGGAAACAGAGAUAUAAUGUCAAGGUUGGAGUCAAUGUCAAAGGUUUCCAUAGUCUGAACUCUAUGGGUAAGAUGGAUAAGCAUGCCAUAAUCUGAACUAUAAGGCAGGGUAGUAUGUUAAAGUCUGAAAUGUAUAGCCAAAAUCAAGAUAGCCAGAGUCUGAACUCAAUAGGGCGAGGAUGUCAAGAUCUGUAUCUUAUGGGCAAAGAAUAAAGCCAGAGUCUGAACUCCAUGGGCUAAAGGGGUUUGCCAAGGUCUUCACCUUGAGGGAAAGAAGCAAAGCCAGAGUUUGAACUCCAAGGGAUAAAGGAAGUUGCCAAGGUCUGCACCUUGAGGGCAAGAAGAAAACCCAGAGUCUGAACUCCAUGGACUAAAAGAAGUCACCAAGGUCUGCACCUUAGGGCAAAGGAUAAAGCCAGAGUCUGAACUCCAUGGGCUAAAGAAGUCGCCAAGGUCUGCACCUUAGGGCAAGAAGCAAAUCCAAAGUCUGAACUCCAUGGGCCAAAGGAAGUUGCCAAGGUCUGCACCUUGAGGGCAAUAAGCAAAGCUAGAGUCUAAACUCCAUGGGCUAAAAGAAGUUGCCAAGGUCUACACCUUGAGGGCAAGCAACAAAGUAAGCCAUAGUCUGAACUGAUAGGCAAUACAUGAAGCUAUUGAUUGAGAAAUGGGUAUGUGACCCUUGCUUGAACUGAAUGAGGAUUGAAUGAUUGAUUGUUAUAUAGAAUAGAUUGAUAAAUAAGAUAGGAAUAGAUAAGAUAGCUCGCGAGAAACUGGGUUCUCCUGCUUACGUACACUCAUUGUGCAAUGAGGAAAUCAGAGCUUUCGUAGUUCAACCCACUAGGGCUGAAAACAAGAUGAUGGAGGCAAAAGAAAUGAAUGAUUGAGAUUGAAUUGAUUAUAAUGGAAUGUGGAGUGAAGUGAUGAGAUACUUGACAGUCGAUUGAUAGGAAUCACACUAAAGUCUAUGAAUAAGGGAGAACGCUUUGAAUAUUUGGGGCAUACGCCCCAUACGCAAAGUCGCUCUAGACGAGGAUGGGAGAGACUCCGUCUCGUCAUUCCCUAUUACUUAAGACUCGAAUCGCAUGGUACUUCCCUUGACUGACAAGUUGUUGGUGAAGAACCUUUGUUGUUGAUCAUUGUGUUGAUGUUGAACUUGUAUAAAGAAGACUUGGUAGUUUAAUCAAUUUGUAUUGUACUAAAGUCUAUGAAUAAGGGCGAACGCUUUGAAUAUUUGGGGCAUACGCCUCAUACGCAAAGUCGCUCUAGGCAAGGAUAGGAGAGACUCCAUCUCAUCAUUCCUCAUUACUUAAGGCUCGUUUCGUACAAUUUGAAUCGUAUUUACCAAGUGUUCACCUUUGAUUUAUCUUGUAUAAUCCGCUGCUUGGUGUGACUGAGGAUGCCUUGAUUGAAGAUCUUGACUUGAGGCUUCGAGCUCCACAGCUUAGAAUAAAAGUCCUAUUAAUUGACCAAAAGUAUUUUGGUCACUCAAUUUAGACAGUGAGAUUAUACAAGUUCAAAGGAUUUAAUUGAUCAAAAUUGCUUUUGAUUAAUUCAAUCAUGGGUUUGUUUUGAUUUAAGAAGCUAGGUUAGAACCUAAUCAGGUUAGAGUUGAAUUCACAAGCUAUUUCUAAAGGAGACAUGCAUUUGUUAAUCAAAGACUUGAUUUAAAACUAAUUAAAAUUCUAAGUCUAGAUUAAUCAUAAGGGAGCAUGCAAUUAUUCAUGAGAAGGUCAUAUUAAAAGGUUCUAAAAUUAUUAAUCUAAUUGCUUGAUCAAAAUAUAUUUGACCAAAUAAUUAAAUCAUUCAAGAGAAAUCAAACCAUGAAUUAACAAAAGAAUUAAUUACAGAUUUAAUUACAUGAACCAAAAGAAGAUUUAUCGAUUAGUCAAAAAUUAACUAACACAUUAAUUUUAUUUUUAGCAUUUUAAAUAAUCAUUAAAACUAAAUUAAAAAAGAAAUUAAUUCUAACAUUUUUACUAAACUGAUACUAAUGUUUAUAAACUAAGUAAAUUGAUGUAUGUAUUUCCUAAACGAAUGUAAACUAAAGUGUUAUUUUUAACUAAAACUUAAGCAUCAUUUUUUAACUAAAAUUAAAAUAUCAGGAUAUCUAAAUAAAGCUAAAGUAUAUAUUAAGCUAAAGCUAUUGUUUUAAUUGACUAAUCAUAUGUUAUAUAAUAUAAAAACAAUAUAAUGUUAGUAAAAGAAAUGGUUAACAGUAACAUGAUUAUAGAUUUAAACAUUGAUGUGUAAUAGGCUGCGAAGGAAAAAUAUGAACUAUUUCUCUACAUAAGCCAGUAGCCAACCGCCACUUGACAUGUGGCAAAAAAAUUAAUUAAAAGACAAAGUAAAAUAGGAGUAAUGGUAGUAAUAGAAUAAAUGACAAGAGAACAAAUAUAGAUAUAGUAGUAGAAGGAAUAAAAAUAUCAACUUUGCACAAGUUUCCGAUAACGGAUGACGGAACCGAAUUCGACAAGUUAAUAUGUUGUUAGAUUCAGAAUUUCAAAAAAAAUAAAAUAUAUAGUGUAAAUUACAAAGUGAGUAUUGUAUUGAAAAAAGUAAAAAGUGGGUGAAAAAGUCGAUUAAAGAAUGAAUCGGUUUGGCUAAAAUAUGCAUCGGAAUGAAAAUCUAGUUAUAUAUUCACGAUCGACGCGAAAAAUCGAUUCAAAUGGUAUAUUCACAUGUUAUUAAUAGUUAAGAAUUAAAAAAUCACUAUUUUUAAGUUUAUGUGUCUUUGCAAAAAUAAGUGAUUAUCCAAUAAGCAAUUCCAAAAUAGUAGCUUAAGCUAAAUCAACCAACAAAUAUCCAAUAAUUUAUAACAAAAGUGUGGAAAAGAUGUAGGAUUACCGAUGGAGCGGAGAUUUGCUCCGGUUAGUGUUGAAAAAUGGAGCAUCGAAAAGAAAUCCGGAAAACUUCAAGAAUAAACUUCAUUAAUCCAAUUAACUUCCAAGCUUUGAUGAUUAUUCUUGAUGAUGAAUGAAUAUAGAAGAUGAAUCAUAAAUGUAGAAUAUUGAUGAAUAAGUUUGAAUUGAUGAAUAUUGGAUGAUGAUUGUUGAUGGAUGAUUUUUGAUGAUAAUGCUUGAAUUGUGGAUCGAUAAUUAUUGAUGAUAAUAUAGAAAUUUUUGAUGGCUAAGUUCCACCAUUUUAGAACUUCAAUGUGAAAUUCUAAAUGGUGAUGAAGAUGAACUUUAAUGAGGGUGAGGGAGAAGAUGAAUAUUGAGAGAGAAAUUAAGAAGAAAAAGUAGUGGAAAAAUAAUGAUUAAUUGUGAAUUUUCCAAGUUAGGUUAGUUAACCCCCCAAAAUGUGAAAAAUAACAUGUUUACAUAGACUUGGUAGAUGAAUGAUCAUCCUUGGAUUGUCAUCCAAGUAAUUGGUUUUAUCAAUGGUUAGAAAUUAAUUUAAGCUCAAGUUGUGGAUCACCAAUUUCAACCACAAGAUUAAUAGUCAAAGACUGGCUAGGAUUGAAUGAAAAAAAUGGAAGUUAAAAUUUGUGUUUGUUUGGAAGUUUUGUGUUAGUUUGGAAGUUAUGGUAGUUAAGGGUAAUUAGGUAAAUGGAUGACUUAUGGAGAAAUAGGUAGUUAAAGGUAGUUAAAGACCAAUGGUGUUGGAGUUUAGCAAAAGUACCAAGUUAGGAUGUAAGGCAAAGAGUCACUAGUAAUUAACUUUAAUUCUAAUGCCUUUUACUUUGGUUUUUCACCACUUUUGCCUUGAAUUUUGAGUGACAUAAUCCAUAACUUUUAGUGCUUUUGAGAAGUGAUAUUUUCCCAUAAAUGAAUGAAAUCUUCAAUUUAUUCCAAUCUUUCCCUUUUCUUUGAAUCCAAGCAAACCUCCAAAAUAACUAUGAAUCUCAAAUAAAGAGAUGAUCCCACCACAAGUAAUAUGAGAAAUAAAUCUUAAACCGUUAAAUUUACUAUCAUUGAACCUUUGGCAUAAAUUUGUUAUCAUAUACAAAUGUCGAUGAAUGCAUGAUCAAAUAGAAACAAAGUAUGCAAAUGAACAAAACCAUAAGCUAGACGAAUUGAAUAAAAAAAGUAGGGCAAAUUUUAGGGUACGACACACAUAAUCAUACAUUUCUUACAGAAUCUCUGAAUCACCGUGACUUGGGUGUUGGAUUCUAUAUAGAACUUAAUGAAAUUUGCGACCCUAAUCACAAUGAAGAAAUUUGACUUAUAUAUAAGUGAAAAAUAACUGUCAACAAAAGUUACUUUCUCAGCACUAAACACUUUUCCAAGUACGUGUUUCUGGUCUAUACAUGGCUUCCACACGUCUUUGAUGUUCUAACUGCUUCAAAUCAUAACCUACACUAAUAAAUGUCUUUAAAUCUCUCAACUGCCUUUGUUGAGAAUCUCUAGUCGACUCAUAUAGCAUUGUCGAAGCAUCCUUAGUCCACGUGACCUUUUGAUUCAAAAAUAUAUUUAGUCCUUAACAUCUGAUGGACGCGUCGAACUCGGCACUUGUCGAAGUGCUGAUUUGUGCAAACACUUUUGAGAUUCUGGACAUAUUUUGAAGAGAGAGUAAUCAUAAUCUUGUGGAUCUGUUCCCGAGAUUCUUCCAAACCAGGUUUAGUGCAAUGUCGAAAUUUAUAGGCUAACAAAGGGACAUUGUAAAAGAGUGUGUUCAUUUAUGCGGUUGAUGUCAGAUGAGUAUCUACAUGUUUGUGUAAAAAAUUUGGUUAAGGUUAUAGAGUUAAACGGGUGUAAAAGUUUUGUUUGUUUGUAGAAGGUUUUUCGACUGAUCCUCUGCAGAAGCUCAAGUUAUUUUGUAAAUAUUUUUAGAAAGAUCCUGUGAAAAAAUUCAAGAUUGUUUAAAAUGAAAAUCUCAAGAAAAAACUCUGAGACAAGAGUAGGCCAACUAAUAUAGGUUGAACCAUAAUAAUUCUUUAGUAGAAUUUUUCUUUCCUUUAUCUCUUUUAUUUUAUGUUAUUUAUUUUAUUUAUGUUGCUUAUUUUUCUGUCUCUUUCAUAUUUUAUUAUUUCGUUGUUUUAUCCGACAGUUUAUCUCUUCUUAUAGAAAAAAUUUAAUAAUCAAAGUUUUUAAUUUUUUCUUUUAAAAAUUGAAUAUUAAAAUUUAUCUUUCUUAUUUUUAGAAUCAUUUGAUCAAUAUUUUUGUCUUCCUGCAUUAAACUCUCAAGUUUGAAACUACUUAACUAUCAGAGUUAUAUACGUGGUGGGUCGUUGAAUGUUAUUUUCUUAUUUAAGUUUGGACAUGGUGCGCCCUGAAGGAUCUUUUGAGCAGAGAUGCAGUGUAGCUAGUAAGAUCUCAAGUAAGUAGUAAAUUUAGGUUUUGUUUUAUUGUUAAACUAAUAGGAGGUCUUUGCCUUUACAUGGGCCCGUAAUGUUAUAUCAUUUGUAAGUCUUAUUAUUUUUAUUCAAUGGUCUACAUUACAUCAAUAUCUUUAAAAAUAACUAUGCAUAAUAUUUUUGUUCAUUAUUUUCCACAAAUCACAUAGAUAAAAUCUAAUAACAAUUCAUUAAUAUUGUAAAAAAUUCCAAUACAAUAUAAAAUAUAUUAGAUGCAAAUGUAAAUUAGAAGUAAAUUACUCAAUAAAUAAUUAAUUCAUAAUAAAAUAUAUUAAAUGAAAUUUAUGCAAUGAAAAUGAAUAGCAUAAGUUAAAAUAAAAUUAUUUAAUAUUGUAUUAAAUAAAUUAUUCAUUUUAAACUUUUACAUAUAAAACAGUUAUUUGUUUAUCAAGAAAUAAAUUAUUCAAAAAUAAAGAUUUGGUUCUCAAGUAAAAGUAAUUUGUGAAUUUUUUACUCAAAUAUCCCUAGUUUUUAAAAAAUCCAAAAUAACCCUGAUUUUAAAAAAAAUCUUAAACUACCUCAUUUUAAAGAGGAGACGCCAAACCAAUUGGCGCCAACUCCUAAAAUUAUAGAGGAGGCGCCAAUUGAACUGGCUAGGGCACAUGGUGUUGCCAAUCCAAUUGACGCUCAUGUGUUACUUUUGAGAGGAGGCACCAAUUGGUCUGACGCCUCAGUGUAAUUUGAAAAAACUGUUAUAAAUAGAGGUGUUGUGUGAAUCAUUUUUCCACGUCUCAUUUCAUCAUUUUGCAAACAUGUUUGGUGUUCGUCGCCGCUAUGGAAAGGUGAUUUAUUCGAGAGACAAACCUCAGAUGUUGAUGCUCUUCAGAAACAUCACUAGUUUCGAUCAACUAAAGAGGAAGCUGGUUCAUUGGUUAGAUGGAAAAAUACCAGAAGGGAAAAAAAUUAGAAGUAUUGAGAGACUUGAUAAUAUAUUUGGUUGGGUGCGAGUCAAAACUUAUAAGGAUGUUAGGGAAAUGAUGUUUGGACGAGAUGAGAUUAGUUUGAUUGUUGUAAUCAGUUAGAAAUGUUCUGUUUUAAGUUUGCUUAUGUCGUAGUGAUGUUUGUUGUUAACCUUGUUGUAACAAAAAGUUAAUGAUAUAUAAAAAUCCAAGGUUACAAAAAGAUUAUGAUGCAGAUGUUGCUCCUCGAUUGGGACAAUUGUUCUUAUUGUGUCCUGGUUGAUGAUAUAUACUAGAUAGUCUUAUCAUUUCAUCAGUCGUAUCCGUUUCUGUCCUAAUAUGCGUGUUGUUCGGUCGUCCUUUUUUCUUUCUUCACAUCUUGUCGUUGUGCCAAACUAUGUCACCUUCAUAUGGAGGCCAGUAUUCGUCCAUUAGUAGCACUGAGAAGCUUUUGUUAUACACAUUCAUGACGGUAAUGGCCUUGUAAACAUCAGAUAAAUGGUUGUAAGCGUCCUGGCGAGUAUGUGCGCAUGCUGCAAUGACAUGGGAGCAAGGAAUGCGGAAGGCCUGGAACUUUCCACAGUCGCACCAACUUCUGUUUAGUUUGACAACAUAGGAUAAAUUUGGUCUCCCCUCAUUGUGGUCCAUUGUUUCCUGUACGCUGAAAUUUUGCCUAUGACGGUCAAAGACUGUUACCGCGUGUGUGCUAGCUUUGAUGCUCCCCUCUUUCUUCACUUUCAUACAACACUCACUGAAUAUUUUCCCAGACAUUAACACCACACUCCAUCUUUCACCUCUGGUUGUGAAGGUAGAUGCCAACCUAUAAUAGGUUGAUCUGACCAAGGCGGUUAUUGGUAGAUUUCUAAUGCCUUUGAAUACGCCGUUCAUGCAUACCACAAGGUUUGUUAUCAUAUGGCCCCAUCGACAGCCUCCGUCAAAUGCCCUUGUCCACUGCUCUACUAGUAUGAUAUCCAGCCAUCUUCCUGCAUCUUCAUUAGACAAUCUAAUUUCAUCACGGUAAUAUUGAAAUGACGACUGAGUUAGAGCAUACCCAACAUUCACCACUUUUUUGCGAAGGUUCUUAUCUUUAAUUGCACGCAUGAAGUUUUGCGUGAUAUGUCUAAUGCAAUAGACAUGGGUAGGAGGAGGAUCAUGUCAUGCGUUGUCAUGGUUAUUGUAAGCACACUCAAUGGAAGCAUGUCUAUCAGAAAUCAAACAGAGAUCGGCUUGUGGAGCCACAUGUGUUCUGAGAAAGAAACCACAACCACCACCAGUUUCACCUUCAACCAGAGCAAAGGCAAUGGGAAAGACAUUGUUGUUGCCGUCUUGUGCAACCGCCAUAAGCAAAGUACCCUUGUAUUUGUCGUAUAACUAUGUUCCAUCAAUUUGAAUAAUAGGUUUGCAAAAUGCAAAACCUUUGAUGCACGGGUCAAAGGCCCAAAAGAGACGGUGAAAGAUUUUAUUUCCAGCAACACAGGUACCGCCUGGCGUAAAUGCUGGAAAUGUCUCCAAAAUUGCAACAGUUCCUGAUACGUGUGCUUUUAGUGUGUCAUACCCCAAUUUUGUCCGGGCAUAUUUAAAUUUUUGUAAAAUCGAUUUCAUUUUUAAUUUACAUCAUAAGCACAACAUGACAUGCAUUCCAUCAUGAAUAAUACUUAAAAUAUCAGUCAGAAUAAAUUUAUUGAAAAUACAGACAAAUCGGUUGAAUCAUUUCCUCAAGUACGGACAAAAUCAGCGAAUAAAAAGUUUCAAAAUUAAAAUUGCAGACACCAGUAUUAUUAAUCUACGGUUCAUGUAGUUUAACCUGGUGUGCUCGUUGUAUUUUUCAGCAGUUGUUUCAGUUGCGUUUUGACCUGCCUGAGCCUUUUAACCGGUGCAAACUUAUUUCAGAAUUUGAAGAAACGCUGUAUUUUUUUCAAUAAGUAUAUUUUAUGCUGAUCAUUUUAGUGUGCCCGAUUUAAUUUUCCGUGCACAUUUAUAACCGGUCCUUAUUUAUAAUUGGUCACUUUUUUGGUUUAGUUAUUUAAUUAAAGUAAUUAGAUUUUUUUUUAAAAUCAAAUAUUGAUUAGAAAUUUUAUGAGUAUAUUUCCUUAAAUAAAUAAUAUUUGUUUGCAAAAAAUAAAUAAAUGAGAUCAACAUUGGAUUUCUAUUUUUUGACAACUAGUGCAUCUCCAACGGUAAUAUAAAAUUCCAGCUUGCAUCUAUCUCACACACGUCUUCUCACCAACAAUAACAAAAAUAAGCAGAAAAAAAAAGAAAUAAAUAAGGUGACACCACCACUCCAAAACCCACUGAACUUCUUCUUCCCUCAACCUAGGCGUCGCCCUCAACAACAACUCUCCAUUACUUUUUAAAGCUACCACCAUCCCCAUCUUCUUCCUGGGGAUCCUCAACCCAAACCGUGAUACUCCCUCCAUCUUCUCCCUAAAUCGUCGCCUCCGGCCACGAACCAACAACCUUUCGCCGACACGGAUCUGCAACUUCAACCCUCUCCACACGCCGGUGAUUUUCAUAGCUUCCUCUCCUUCUUCCACCUUGAACCCAUUGACCACUAACCCUCUUCAACAUAACCGACCUACAUACUCCAACCAACUCCACUCAGUCGCUCCUUUCCUUCAACAUAAACUAAACUCAUCUUCUCCAAUUCAACACUGUUUUUUGUUUUGCUUUCGAAAUUGGGAAGGUUAUAUUCUGCUUGGGUGUUAUCUCUUUUUUUUUUGUAGGUUGAGUUUAAUUUACGUACCUGAUCGGGAUACCGCAAAGAUGUGAUUCAAUUAGAUGCCGCGAUGUACACGUUUCAGUUAUGAUUUGUUCCUCUUUGGACCGCCGCUUCGGUUACGGUACCGAGUUUCUUACGUUUCUCAUAAUUCAUGUGUAUCUUGUGAUAAGCUAAAAGUUGUGAUUAAAUUACAAAGUCAAAAUUUGUGCAGAAUGAACAUCCUGCUGUGGAACAAUAGAAAUAUUUUAUUUUAAUUUUAGUAUAUAUUGUAUAAUUGGCUCUGCAUUAUUAGUGUUAAAUUUGUGUAGAAUGAAGUUCCAUCCCUGUUUUAAAAGUGAUCAAACCAACAUAUAAAAUAUUGUUAAAUUAAUUAAACAUUUUCUUAUGAAUUUUUUUAUGAUAUUCUCUUUAUCAAGUAUCAGAGCUAGCAUCGGUGAGGUCGCCGAAAUAUCAUUGCUUUCCUCUGAAAAAAUGUUGAUGUUGCUGCGAAUGAAUGUGUGAUGGAGAAAAGUUAACCCCAAUUUUUUAUUGUAUUAUGAUGUUUAUACUUUUUAUUUAUUAAUCGUUUUUUUAAAAGAAGAGAAUUAUCACCACUUAGAAUUAUUAUUAUUAUUAUUAUUAUUAGUAGUAGUAUGUAGGUGUUAAAAUAAAUUUGGAUUUGGGUCAUUUGAGUGUUAGAGAAUAUGGGUCCAUUUCUCUUUUUUUUUCCUUACCUAUUUUGAGAACUUUUGUUUUGUUAAUGGUACCCCUAUAAUCUGUAACGAACCCAUGUUAUUGAUUGCUUGAUUUUCAUUGCGUGUAAAUUAAUUUUAUUAAUUAAGAUCGACCGACUUAUUUCACCAUUAUUUUCUACCAUCAAUUCAUAAUACAAGCAUGAUUCCAUUCCAUUAUCAAUAUAAAACCAUGAUUAAACCAUUUAGAAAAAUCACACAAUUCUUGAUUUAAUCUCAAACUCAUUUCCAAACACCUUUGUAAGUCAAUUGCCUUUAAAGCAUCGCCAUCAACCUCACAUAGCUUACUCUUGGGCUUUCCUACAAUGAGACCUAUUCAGUUAUUAAUUAACUGAGUAGAUGAUUGAUACACUAAAAUAAUCCCAUUUAUUCACAAACACACAUCCAAGCCUCGAUUCAACAUCAAGUAUUUUCUAUUCAAAUCAAAUUAAGAUACCUAAUCACGAUUAACACCACUUCAUUUAGAGAUGAAAAAGGAGAUGGUUUUGAGUUUUCAACUUCUCUCCUCGAUUAUUUGGAUACGAAUUCUCUUACUCGGUUAGUCAAAUAGUUGUCAUUUCUAAUCCACUUAAGAACAAAAUACAUCGAAUCAUUUUAUAAUAAGAAACGAAAAGGGAGAUGAUUUUGAGUCUUCAAUUUUUCUCCUCGAUUAUUUGAAUACAAGUUCUCUUACUUGGUUAGUCAAAUAAUUGUCGUUCCUCUACAAACCUUAAACCAAGAUUAAAUCAAAUUAUUUUCAUAAUGAGCUAAAUGAAAAGGGAGAUGACUUUGAGUUUUCAACUUCUCUCCCCAAUUGUUUGAAUACGAGUUCUCUUACUCGGUUAGUCGAACAAUUGUCAUUUUUCUGUCGACUCCUACUGUAAGUCAAAUCAUUGUCAAUCAAAACUAUACGAAAAGGGAGAUGGUCUUGAGUUUUCAAUUCCUCUUCUCAAAUGCUUGGAUAUGAGUUGUCUUACUCAGCCAUUCAAGUAUUUGUCGUUUAUUCUAAAACACAUCAACCAUACACAAACUUUUUUCAUAAUUACUCAGAUGAAACAGAAAGCGGUCUAGAGUCUUCUAUUCCCUUUCCCGACUAUUAGGAUACGAGUUGUCUUACUCGGUUAUCCGAGUAUUCGUCAUCCAUUCAAAACACCUUAACCAUCAUUAAAUCCUUUUAUAAUUAAGGAUGAAAAAUAAAAUGGUCUAGAGUCUUCUAUUCCCUUUCCUGAUUAUUAGGAUACGAGUUGUCUUACUCGGCUAUCCGAGUAUUCGUCAUCCAUUCAAAACACCUUAAUCAUCAUUAAAUCCUUUUAUAAUUAAGGAUGAAAAAGAAAGUGGUCUAGAGUCUUCUAUUCCUUUUCCCGGUUAUUAGGAUACGAGUUGUCUUACUCGACCAUCCAAGUAAUCGUCAUUCAACAAAAAUGUCUCAACGCAUCAAAUAUAUAUCUUUCUCGCCCUCAUGCGAUCAAAAUCAAUCAAAAAAAGCGUCAAACAUAUUAAUCCAACUUGUCACCCUCGUGUGAUCAAAACUCUUUUAAGAAAGAACACUGUUAAUCCUUUAUAAUGCGCACAACAAACUAGUGCUUAAGCCUCCGCCGAGAGUAGACAAACCAACGUUUAGCCUUUAGAAUGCAAUUUAAAACAGUUGUUCACUAAAAGGCACCAACCAACCGUAGUUCCCCGAACUACGAAUGCUCUGACUUCCUUAUUACACCAUAAGGAUACGUAGGCAGGAGAUUGAUGUAUCUUCGCGAGCACACUAAUAAAAAAACCUCCCCUUUCCUUUUCUAAGGUUCCCAUCCAUUUCAAUUUCUAAUAUUUUAUAACCCAAAGAUAACAAACAAACAUAAAUUAACACUCGAAACGCACAUUAGAACUAAAAGGUUUCCGUUGAGUACAACGGACGUAAGGGGUGCUAAUACCUCCCCCUUACGUAAUCCACUCCCGAACCCGAAUAUGGUUGCGACGACCAUUAUUCCAUUUCCUAAAGGUUUUAUCGAUAUUUUCCUAUCCCUUCAUUGGGAUAAAUAAAGUUCGGUGGCGACUCUGUUUGAACGUAAUUUUUUCCGCGACCAUCGCGAGGAAUCGUAUUUUUCGAGAUGCGACAUAGUGCCCAUAAAAACCGUGGCAAUUCUUUGUAUGAAUCCUUUCAGUUGCCGAAUACCUGUUCAAUAGCCUUUAUCCUCGCAAUCCACGCUUUCUUGUAAGAUGGAGUAUAAUUAUAUCUUGUUCUGAUAUAAUAUAUUAUUAUACUCACCUUCACUGAUGGGUCUUUGUUAACAAGCGACAAAAUGUCUUGACAUAUAAAUGCAACACUUAAUUUACGGUGAUCUUGUUCAACGUUAGUUGUAAUGCAACUGUGAGGUGGGUCUAUUGAAUCUAUCUCGUUUUUAGAGACGCAACCAACUGAAACUUACAAAGGAUGUUACGACAUUCGAUGACAUACCUUCUCGAAUCAGUGCGUUUCACUAUGAAAUCUGCAGAGUUAUUCAUGUGAAAUUUUUUGAUAGCUUGCACACAUUCUUCUUUAGUGCGGAACAUGUCUUCCACCUUUAACUCGCCUUCUGAUCAUGGAUACGGGUUAUAAAAAACACUGUUGGAUGUUUCAUCGUCAUGCAGAUCCAUGUUUGUCAUAUGUUGAGGCGGAUUCUAUACAUGACUUUGAGGUAAUGGCGCUGGUUGAUCAUCAUCUUCAAUGUUGUUGUUCAACAUAUGAUCGACCUGUAUCUCGGUCUCUUCUUCUUCUUCAUCAACGACGUUAACUUCUGCUUCUGGGUCGACGUCAUCUGAGUAUUGUGAAUAAAAUUCAUCAGAUUCAUCCUUAUUAGUUAUUUGAGAUUGCUGAGAUGGUAUACUUGGUUGAAGAGUAAUAUACAACUCAAUACAAUUGCAACCAGAAUGUUCGUGACUAACAGACAUAUAUUCAACAUCUUCAUCAUCCCGUACCUUUAGUGGGAAAAACUUGCAUUGACUGUUCUAAAAAAAAUGGAUUUUGAUAUGUGAUCUUUGACACAAUAACAGAUCCCAUGGAGGAUUCAAUUUGUUUUUUUAGAUGCAAGAAAUUUGAAUUUCUCUUGAUCGUAAGUCGGAUGGUAUCGGUGUUUCAAAAAUAAAACCCGUAUAACUAAGACUCAUAUGUCUCACCAUUGCAGUGAACAUUGAUAUUAUAUUUCGGUGAAGAUGACAUUGUAAUAUUUCUUGUACAAAUGAAAAUUAAUUUCCUGCUGCAGAUGAAUGUGUGUUGAUUGUUGGAUGUAGAUAGUAAGACACUUAAAUAUGUAAGUGAUGUGUCUAACAUGCAAGCAAGAUGGAAGUGAUAUGUCCAACAUGAAAACCAGAGGGAAGCCAUGUGUCACACAUGCAAGCCCUAACUCCAAUCCAAUUGGCGCUUGCUUGCAAUACUUGCACAUGGCGCCAGUCCAAUUGGCGACACCAUGUCUUGCAUGCAGACCUUGUAACCAAGCAUGCAGAGCCAUGCACGCGCCAUGUUAGGUCAAGAUGUGUCAUGCAUGAGCCUAGGGAGGCGCCAAUUUGAUUGGCUCUAGCAUGUGGCAAAUGCACAUGGGCGCCAAUUCAUUUGGCUAGCACAUGCAAUCACAAUUUUCCAAGCUUCCACACUUUUGCAUGUCACACCUUAUAAAUAGGCAAGAGACUCUCACAUUUCUCUCACACCAACACUCAUUACUUCCUCAAUAACAUCAAAUCUUUCAUCUGCAACAACCUCUUUCAUCUACACCAACCUCUUUCAUCUCCGACAAGAUGUCUCUCCUCAUAAUGGGUGAAACGCAUAGAGGAACAGUUGCAAACAUAGCAACUUAUCUAAGACUUCAAUUAUUUUGUUAUUUGUCUAGAAUACCUUUUAAUAACAUAUCAAAUUAGUAACAUGUUUUGUUGUUUCUUUUAUAGGAUGUUUCAAGGUUCCGAACUCGGGUCCACGAAUAUGUACACAUGGACCCGAUGAUUCAACCGUAUGUCGAACUCGCCGGUUUUGGACAUAUAAGAAAAAUAAUAUCUUAGUCGGUGGAUAAUAAAUCCAUUAUUGUGUUAUGUGAAAGAUGGUGUCCCGAGACAUACACAUUUUGGUUUCCAACCGGUGAGUGUACUGUGACGUUAGAAGACGUCUACAUGCUAUUGGGACUGUCUAUCGAAGGUAAAGCUGUAAAUCAUAAAACCAACUAUGCGAAUUCAAUUUGCAUGGACCUCUUGGAUGCUAAUUUGUUAGAUGAUAACUCAAGAGGUCAAGGUAUACUCCUUUCACGCCUUAAGGCAUACUAUAACAACUUACAUUUAGAUGAACAUUCUACCGAAGAGGCUCGAAUAAUAAAAACUAGGUGUUAUAUUAUACUUUUAAUUGGUUCUUUUUUAUUUCUCGAAGGUAGUGGUUAUAGUAUGCAUGUUAUGUAUUUACCUUUACUAAGACAUGUAGAUAGAAUAGGAAGUUACAACUGGGGAUCCAACCUAUCUUUAUAGCUCUUUGUGUAAAAAUUCACACAAAGACACAUCUACCUUUUCUGGAUGUGCUGUUUUGCUCCAAGAAUGAGGUUGGUCAAGACUACCGUCCCUAGCGCCUGUCAGCAACAACCCAUUCACAUUCCCGUACGCACAAAAGUAAGUUGUUUAAAAUGGUAUAUGUUUACUUACUUUACCGAUUAUAAUCUCUAACUAAUAUUUUUACCUUUAUGGUGCAGAUGGUCGACACGUGGUAUGAGUUAUAACAGAUGUCCUAGACAUUAUAUUAUUCAGUAUCGCAAUCUCUUGGAUCACCUUCGACCGACAGAUGUAUGGAUAAUAACCUAAUUAUUUCGUAAUAAUUUGUUAAUUACUUCUACCAAAUUUAUAAUCUAACAUACAUUCACAUUUCAGUUCAUUUGGCAUCCAUACCUAAAUUUGGAUAAUGACCAUGAAAUCAACGAAGAAGACGCAGCCGUAUGGAUUGCUUGCACACCGAUCAUAAGAUUCACCACUGUGGAGAUGCACAACAAUGAUCGUGUGAAAUUGUAGUUCGGUAUGCUUCAACACAUCCCAGAUCCCCCAACAAACCUAGGAGAAUGACAUCUACGCAAAGUUAACGACCAAUGGAACUUUAACCCAUGGCAAAGCUUCGCUAGAUCUGAGUGUCAUAUGCUUCAACACAUCCCAGAUCCCCCAACAAACCUAGGAGAAUGACAUCUACGCAAAGUUAACGACCAAUGGAACUUUAACCCAUGGCAAAGCUUCGCUAGAUCUGAGUGUCGCAAAUGGAAGCACUGCCAUGACCAUGUCUUAACUGACGUUGUGAUGCCAACUGAAGAAAAACCAAGUCGUACUUAUAUGGCUUGGUACAAAUUAGUUGGUUUUGAGUUCAUCGCCGAGGAUAUGUACCUAUACGACCCACGCCGGGCAACUUACACACCAGACGCCUCAACAUCUAAUCCCUAACAACAUUGUCAGAUCGGCUACACACAACCCCCUAUCCGUCAAACUUUCCGUUCCACAAACACACAAAUAUACAACCCUAACAUGUCAUACACCCAACCACAAUACCAAGAUCAUACCACAUACCACCACCACCAACUAGAUCAUCAACCAGAGACCCAACAUCGCUUCACACCCAACACAUCACCCUACAAAAACCGCCUUAGCCAAAACACUCAACGACCAUUUAACACCAACCGUCCCUCCUCCUACCAAAACCAAGAAGCCCAAAUAUCUCAAAACCAAAACCUUCAACAACCAUAUCUUUACCAAACACCACAAUAAUCUUUCCAACCUUUCAUCGACGCAUCAUUCACACCAAUGUCUCCCUUCAAUCGUUCUGGUCGUCCACCAACAACUCAAACACAACUCAACUACUCUGACAUGGGUCAUAAACUCAGCUAUGGAGAUACACCUUCGAUGCAUACACAAGACUACGUUGAUUUGUCUGACUAUCUCAAUAGGCAAUCUCCUGCAGUUGAUAGUGAUGUUUCUGGGCCCUCAGAUGCUCAAACACCUGGGGUGAAUCAUCAACGUGGAUUUGGGUCAUGGGUUCGGAUAGCUAGGGGAUGUGGGACCGGUGGUCGGUUAGGUGAUCUCGGUCAUCAACAUUAGUCUUUUUUGUGUAAACGAGAUUUAAAAUUACAAAACACACAGAGGUGUCAAUCCAAUUGGCGUCUCCCUUUAACCUUUGCACAUGGGCGCCAAUUGGAUUGACAGCACCAUCUGCCAUAGCCAAUCCAAUUGGCCUCUCCUUUCUAAAUUUAAGAGGAGGCGCCAAUUGCAUUGACGUGUCCUCUUAAAAGUGAGGUAGAUUGUAAAUUUUUUUGAAAUUAGGAUUAUUUUGGAGAAAAAAAUCAAAAUCUGGAAUAUUUUAGUAAAAAAUUCUUAAUUUGUUCCUCAAAUAAAAGUAAUAGUUAAUUAAAGUAAAUUUGAUAUUGUGUAACCCGUGAAAUAAUAUAUCAUUAUAUUUAGGUACUAUUUCUCCCAUCCAUAUUAUCCUUCAACCAUUUAAGAGUUUAGAAAUAGAGCAAUCUUAAUGAUAUCAAUACAAAAAACUUAUAAGUACGUAAAAAAUUAUUUUAUUUUAAUCAAAUUUUAAUGAUAAUGUUAAAAAUAGUUAAUACAAUUUUUUAUAUGAUAAAUAAAUAUCCAAAUUUUUUCGAUUUUAAAGAUUCUUAAAUUAAAUAAUAAUAAAUAAUAUUUAUAAAUAUUUAUUAUUAACUUUGAUUAUUUUUUACCAAUAAUAUUGAUAUUAAUAGUAUAUCAUUAUUAUUAUCACAUUUUUAACUCACAUUAUCAAUACUAAUAGCAUAUCGUUAUUAUUGUCACUUUAUUCAACUACCCUAUCAAUACAAAAAAAAGUUGAAUAUAAAUAAUAUAAAUAAUAUAUAUAUAUAUAAUAUAAAUAGAAAAAAAUGCCAGAUCCAUUAGAGGACUUAUUAGCGAAGGUAUUGAAAAUUUAAACAAUUAUUUUUGUUCAAUUUUUCUCACAUAUCACAUAGAUAAAAUCGUAAUAAUUAUUCAUUAUUAUUGUAGAAAAAUUCAAAAUACAAUAUAAAAUAUAUUUAGAUGCAAAUGUAAAUUAGAAAUAAAUUACUCAAUAAAUAAUUAAUUCAUAAUAAAAUAUAUUAAAUAAAAUUUAUUCAAUGCAAAUGAAUAGUAUACAUUAAGAUAAAAAUUAUUUAAUAUUGUAUUAAAUAAAUUAUUCAUUUCAAAUUUUUACAUAUAAAACAAUAAUUUGUUUUUCAAGGUUUGUUUUUCAAGAAAUAAAUUAUUCAAAAUAAAUAUUUGUUUCUCGAAUAAAUUUUUUUUUUCAAAUAAAAAUAAUAAUUAAUUAAAAUAAAUUCGAUAUUGUGUGACCGAUAAAAUAAAAUAUUUUAUUAUCAUAUUUAUAUAUUAAUUCUCUCGUCUUUAUUAUUCAUCAUUCGUCUAAAAGUUUAUAAAUAUAGCAAUGUUAAAGAUAUUAAUACAAAAAAGUUGAUAAGUAUCAUAUUUAUGUACUACUUUUCCGUCCCUAUUAUCCAUCAAUCAUUAAGAGUUUACCCGUCUCUAUUAAGUGUUUGUAAAUUAUUAGUUUUAACUAGAUUUUAACGUAAAUUUAAUAAUAGUUAAUAUUUAUAUAUUAUUAGUAGUUAGAUCAAUUGUAUCAUCUCAGUGGCUAGUAUUUCUUAAGAUUUUAUUGUUUUUUUAUUUGCAAUGGUUCUUUUGUGGUACUGUAUUUGUGUUUUAUGUGUUUUUUUUUUUUUGCUUUCUUUUAUUAGGACAAUUUUUUUUGUAUUUUAUCUUGUUAUUUUUUUAAGCAUGUCUGGUAUUUGGACUUGAGCUUAUAAUAUACUUUUUACAUCUUACAAAAACAAGGAUUAUAUUAAACAAAUUAAGUCCUUAAAAAUAUGAGAUUUGAGACUUUUUCUUAAAGAAAUGAAUGAAUCAAUUUGAUAUUCACUAUUAAUAUAUAAAUAAAUAUUAUACCGUUAAUAUACGAUAGUUAUUUGAUUUUUUAAAAUGUUUGAGUAGACUUUGAACAAGAUAUUAUAAUAUCCGUUUUCAUAUUUGCAAUUUAAAAAAAUUCUCAUUUCCGACUUCAUAAUCAAAUGAGCACCAAUAUUAAUAUUCACAUAUAAAUUUUAUGAAUAUAUAAGUAUCCGUACUUGUUAGGCGUAGUUCUAAUAAUUUCCAAAAACAAACAAUGUGAUAUCAACAGCCUAAAACUUUUUAUACUAAUAAUAACUAAAUUCUUUAUUAAAUUCGAAUCGGCGGCCUGCUGGAGAACUCAUUCAUUACACAUCUAUAAAAAAAUCUCAACUAAAACAAGACAACGCGCUCAAAUAUCAUUAAAGAAGCAUGCAUGGCCAACAAGUGGGUGGAAUACCGACAUCAUUUAAACACUAGGGUGAGUUCAUUUGUCGAUUAAUUUUGCAUGGCAAAAGAAAGGCCUUGAAGUCUUGAACACAAGUUUCAUGACUUCAUUGAAUUCUAUUUGUUAACAUUUAUACAAGUUUGAGAGAAAUGGGUGAGAGAUAGAUACUCUCUUGUCUCUUUCAAUAUUUCUUUACCCCACCAUCCAAUGUAUUGGCAAGCACCUUUCUAGUGCUAACAAUAUUAAAUUAGAUUGUCCAAUUCACCUUUCUUUCAUUUCGGGUACUUUCUCUAAAAUUUUGCUCUCCAUCUUAAUUUUAUAAAAUAAAUUUUACCACCACGUUAAAUAAAGACUAUCGGAUUUUAUUUGCACAGUAUCCGUUAUCUUGUUAUUUUCUUUGGAGCCUCUUAUAUAAUCUUCCCUUCAAUCCUAUGAUUCCUUCCAUAAUGGACCAUAAUGAGCUGUCUCUACGUUUCUCAUGCUUGAAUGCUCAAAGUAGCAUUUAUUGUCUCACUAAUGACUACUAAUCAUGAGUUCUAACGGUUCAAACAUUAAUUUUGUAACCUCCAUGUGACCCUUAGUCUGCCUCUUAACCGAUAGGGUUGCUAUUAACCCGGUCAUCCGCAAUCUAUCAAGGGUCGACUUAUGUGUUCCACCUAGACUCUUGCACGACCACCUCAACCAACACUAAAAAUAGAGAUCCCGACUAAGCUAAAAAAUUUGGGAUGUCCAUUAUCCUCCAAAGUACAAGGCAUGCAAGGGUGAAGUGUUUUUAGUUUAUCCCGGAUAACACAAACUCGAUCUACAUGCAUUUUAUUUUUAUGAAUUUUGAUGAAAUGAGCUCCCGUAAAUUAGUGGUCUUGAUGAUGAAUCAGUUCCUGAAGGAUUCAUCCUGGCACAUAUUGGGAAGAUUUAUGACUUUAAUGAAAUCGGAAAAAAACUAUGAUUUUAAUGAAGAAGUCGGAGAAUCCUGAUGGAUUUGUGAUGUAGAGAGGUCAAAGAGCCUAUAUGAGAUAUUGAAUCAUUGACAUCGUAGAAUCAAUAGGUUCUAGAUAUGGAUAAAUCGGAGAGCCCCUGUGGGAUCUCGACUUGCUGUCAUCGUAGAACCCGAUGGGUUCUAGAUAUAGAGAAGUCAGAGAGCCCAAUAUGAUUUGGACCAGUUAUCGUCGUAGAACCUGAUAGGUUCUAGACAUAGAGAAGUUAGAGAGACCUUGUGGGAUCUCGACCUGUUGUCUUCAGAGAACCUAGUAGAUUCUAGACAUAUAGAAGUUGGAGAGCCCUGGUGGGAUCUCGACAUGUUGUCAUUGUAGAAUCUAGUAGGUUCUAGACAUAGAAAAGCCGGAGAGCCACAACGUGAUCUCGACCAGUUGUCAUCGUAGAACUUGGUAGGUUCUAGACAUAGAGAAAUCAGAGAGUCCCCGUGGGACCUCGACCAGUUGUCGUUGUAGAACCUGGUGGAUUCUAGACAUAGAGAAGUCGGAGAGCCCCAAUGGUAUUUUGACCGGUUGUGGUCGUAGAACCCGGUAGGUUCUAAACACAAAGAAGUCGGAGAGCCCUAGUGGGAUCUCGACCAGUUGGCGUCCCGUUUUAACUAAGUUUGGCCUUAUUAUUAGAAUUGUGAUAGCCCAUGUGGGUUUUUGAAUAUUAGUAGUAACCAAAUUCUAAAAGAUUCAUACGUUUCACAAGUUGGAAAAUUUCGAGUACAUCUUGCUUCAUUAUUUACAUAACCCAGAUAAGUUGGGGUCUGAUGCCCGAUAAUCUUUGGUAUGAUUAAAAUCAUAGAUUAUUCUCACUGGAGCAUCGGUUCACAAUCGUUUUAUCGUUAGUCAUCAUUUACAGAGCAUUGUGUAAUGUUUGGAUGCUUUUCAGAUCCUUUGACAAUAAUAUUUGAGCCCUCGUAAGACUGUUUUAGUUAUGACCAUGUUAGUCCUUUUAGAAUUUGCAAUGUAUCCUUAAUGCACUUUAUCUCUUUGAUAACAGUCAAUUUUUUAAAUUGGAAAUCAAAUACAAUGGUUGGCCCCAAACGGAUCUUAACUUACCUUUAGCUAAGGUUUUUACCGUAUAGAUUUAAAUCCCUAGUGAGUCGGCCUUACUGACUGAUGGGUCUUGUUAUUUUAAACACAAACCGACCCAUCCUGGAUGGAUCAUAGUGGAUCCCGGUGUUUGGCCGGGAAUAAGUUAACCAAACCGCUUAUGGUCAAAGGUAUGUUAACUUUGAACGGGAUACCUGAUGUAUAUUAACCUGAGUUUUGUUUAAGGUUAGAGGUAUGUUAACUUGACCAGACCAUAUUGACUGAUUUUCCAAAGGUUCUUAUUUACUUUGACUUUUGAUUUGGUCAGAGGUUUCAAUUAACAUAACCCGGUUAGAGAUUUCUAUUUACUUAACAUGUUUUCCAGAGGUUCUUAUUUACUUGGACUUUUGAUUCAGUCAGAGUUUUCAAUUAACAUAACCCGAUUAGAGGUUUCUAUUUACUUGAUCAAUUUGCCAGGGGUUCUUAUUUACUUAAACUUUUGAUUUGGUCAGAGAUUUCAAUUAACAUAACUCGGUCAUAGGUUUCUAUUUACUUGACUGAUUUGUUUAAUUCGUGUGAUAUUUUGGUUUCUUUUGAUCAUAAUAUUUGAUGUCCUCUUACUGAAAAUUUGAGUUCUUCGAUAGGGUAUAGUACCUUCCGACAACCACCCUGCAGAAUUUCAAGAGUUAAAAAAGAGGAGGUGUCUCCCGCCCUCGUAGGGUAAAACAGUGACACUCAUUGCCUAAAGUAAAUUCUAAAUUCGUCAUUAGUUACAAAUGACAGAGAAAUUAGCUUGCCUUAUCCAACAAUAAAAAUAACUAACUAAAGUAUAGAAUUGCAUAUGUCGAAUCUCCUGGUCUUGUCGACAGUCUUGUUUGAUAAAUUUAUGCUCUCCGUAUUAGUAUCGUCAGUCCAUAUUUUAAUACUCAUGUGAUAGUUUAAGAUAUUUCAAUUCUUAGAGGGCGGUAACUUGUCAACUUCAUUAUUUCGGCAUGGUAAUUUGGUUCCUUCUAAUACUUAUGCUUUCUCCCGUCCUUUUCUUAAUAGACCUUUAUUAAUCCUUAUGGUUGAGUUGGAGCAUAUCGCGUAUCAGGUAGAAGUAAAAUUAGCUUAAACUUAAAGUGCACACAAUUCUCUACUUUAUUCAAUUGCCUUGCACUAAGGUCUUAUUUCAUCAAGGAAACACCUGACACAUACGGUGUAGUAGCCAUACCCCUAAAAGGUUGCAAAUGGAGCAAACAUAUAUGUAAUGCCUAAAGCUCAUAUUGAUUUUGACUAAGGAUUUCUUGGAAAUACAUAGUUCAUAAUUUGCUCUCACAAGUGUCUCUCUGAAUAUAAUGUUUCAUCAACUAUAACUUGAUUUAUGUUUAGCUAGUGUUACAAAUAUUCAUUUAACUUCUACCAAUGAAAGAUUGUAGUAUCAAAGUAUUUUACUUCUUAACAAACCCUCAAAUGGUUUAUUAUUCUGAAACCACCUAUUGCUUGAAUUUUAUGAUAGCUGACAAUUAACGCCUGAGAGAGGAUAUUUCAAGGAUUUUUUAUAAAAUGUUUUUCAAUCUAAGUCAGUUUUGUAUUUCUCUGGUUAUUUUUGUGGUCUUUCGGGUCCCUUUUUUGUGGUCUUUUGGGUCCCUUUUUUGUAUUCGUGUACGUCCUCUAGUUAUUCUCUUUGGAGCCUCUUAUAUAAUAUUUUCUUCAACCCUUUGAUUCUUUUCAUAAUGGGUCAUAAUGAGCUGUCAUACGUUUCACAUGUUUGAAUUCUCAAUGUAACGUCCAUCAUCUUACUAAUGACUACUAAUCAUGAGUUGUAGCGGUUCAAACAUCAAUUUCGUAACCCUCAUGCAACCCUUAAUCCGCCUCUUAACCGUUAUGGUGAACUAUUAAUCCAGUCAUUCGACAUCUAUCGGGGGUGACUUAUGUGUUACGCUCGGGCUCCUGUAUGACCACCUCAACCAAUAUUCAAAAUAGAUAUUCCGGCUAAGUUAAAAAUCUCGGGAUGUACAAAUAUUAACAUAAAUUUUUAUAAUUUAAAUAUCUAGAGGAGUAGUUCCUGCAACCUUGACACACCAUUUUUGAGACAGACCAAUAUUUUAGACUUGUGCAUUCAAUUAUGUUUGCUCUGCCCUAUUUUACUGUGGGUUCUUACAAAACUAACUAGACGACAUUUCUGGAUACAUGAUCGUACGCGCAAAAAAUACUAUGAUGUCUAAGUUAUGAAAUAAGAUAUCAAAUAAAAAAUCAUUAAAAUGAUUGUCUGAAUAUAUCAGAGGGAAGAAACCCUCGUUUAUAGAAUGAACGGACUCUAAUAUACUCCUUAUAUUUGUUAUCUUGAGUGAGACAAUAUAAUUGAUGAUUACCGAAAAAGUGUUCACUUUUAUUAGUGGAUGAUUCAUGAUAUAUUUUAGGCAUAGAUGCUUAGGUUGAUGCCAUUAUACACUAUUAGCUAUUUUAUUAGAGGAUCGAUGUGAAACUUUUGAAGAUACUUAUGAAAUGAAAAUAUAUGAGUUGAGGUGGCUCGCCGAUAUGGGUGUACUGAUGUGAUACUUGUGCUCCCUUAAACUCGUAGGUCUAAAAGUGUUGGAAGUCUAAUAUAAGCAAUGAGAUGCCACAUUACUAUCUUGUAUGCGUUAAUGAUCCAUGCCACGACAUGUGUGUGUUGAUUCACUUGGUUGAUGUCAUGAUGGAAUAGUUACUUUUUAUGGCGUGAUCAAGUUCGUAUGAUUUCAUGAUUUAAUGUAUAUUGUCUUAUCGUAAUUAGUGAAUACACAUUGUUUAUAUUUGUUGAUGAAUAGUUGUCACUAAAGAGUUUCUUUUAUAGAAUUUUUUAGUCACAGAUGUGUUAUGGAUAUUAUUUAAUUAUCUAAAAUUGCAGCGGUCUAAUUAAUAUUAGGUAUAUGAUUAAAAACAUAAAUGUCAUGAAAUAUGAGAUUAUUGUGUAGAUACCAUAAGUCAAUAUCUAAAUUGAUGAUGGACUGAAUUAUAAUAUUGAAAACUAAAAAAUAACACUAAGGUUAUUUAUAGGGGUUAUGGUCCUCAUAUGUAGACAACGUGAAAACGAAUCAUUAGAAAAAUUCUCUCUUCAUCCUCAUCAGAGGAUAUUCAAGGAGGCAUAAGGAAACUCUAUAAAUUGGAAUAUCAAAUACCCGCAAAUCUUCAGUGAUUCACAAUGAAAAACUCGGGUACACUUCCACUAUUAUUUUCUGGUUGAAUUCUGAUAUGGUUAUCCACUCAAAUGGAUUAUUUUAGAGUUAUGUUCUCGAUUUCUAUAUCGAUAGAAAUAAAAUUUAACAAGUGGUAUCAGAGCCACCCGUAUCUAAUUCAAUUUGAAUUUGGUUUUUUAUUUUUAUUUUAUAUUAGGAUUCUAAAAUUAGGAUACUUUGAUCUUCCGAUUGUAUAAAUCAAUAUUUUCAUGUUGUUGAUCAUGUAUUUUUGAGUUUAUGUUUGAUCUUUGUUCAUUUUGGAUGUCGAACAAAUUCGUAAUAUUUGGGAAAAGAAAACUUAAUUUCGGCACUGUUCUGCAAAAACAUUUUGUAUGGAUUACUAGCCGAUUACCAAUACUGUAUAUUGUAAACAAGUGGUUACCAAUACUGUUGUUAGCUGGGAAUUUUCCUAAGUGUGGGAAAAACCCAGUUUUUUUAGUAGACAGUGAAGACGUUCCACAGAGUUUGUCAGGUUAAAGUGUCGAAGUCGCAUUUAAAAGACUUAGUGAAAUUCUGGAAGAGAAAGAGGCGGGGUCUUCGACAAGCCAAGGUCGCGUCGAAAUCGACAGCAACAAAGAUCUUCUGAGGUGGCAGAUUCAAAGUUCAAACAUCUCACGUAACCGUAUUUUGGCUCCAUUGUGGAAGACGUGGCAGUAAGUGAGGAGAAUUGGGCAUACGAUGAAGAUGCGUCGACAAGAGAGAGUAACACGUAGCAGUGACAAUUAUGUUAUUCAACUCUCUCUCCUCUCGUCUCUCUCUCUCUCUUAUCUAUAUAUAUAUAUAUAUAUAUAUAUAUUAGUUAAUGAUAGGAUUCGGGGUGCUGACUUGUAUACAAAAAACCACUGAAACUCAGAAGUAUAUGUGUUAUAGAGUGAAAAUGAGUACUCAAGGCAAAAUGUAUGAGUUCAGUUACCAAUUUACAUUUCCGUAAAGUUUUUACUUUUUUUUGUCAAGUUACUUAUUUUCCUUUAGAUUCCCGCACUUCUGCUUUUUAUCACCAUUUAGUUUCCCUGCACCCUUUUAAAUACUGACCAUUUAUCCUUCGACGCCCUUUACUUUUCUUUACGGUUUUUAUGCAAGUUGAAUCCUGUCAAUUUCUUUCCAGCCCCUUUUUACUCAAACCUUUUGUCACAAUUACCCAGAUUUUUGCUUCGUCGAAAUCAGUAGACGUUUAUCAAACGUUACAUCACUUUUACAAAUAUUGCAAAGAAACAAAGUAAUUAGCACAUGUCCCGAGAUUCACUGGUUGAUCCCUUGAGUCACUUUUUGCAAUAAAAAUAGACCAACACUUGUUUAUCAAUUUUCACGGUAAAAAAAUUGGCACGCUCAAUGGGACAGUGCUAACUAUCUUUUAUAACUUUUGAAAAAAAAUCUGCAAAUUUUCACUUUUUGUAGUUUCUUGGUACUUUAUGCACAUAAUGUUGUUAUCUACUCUUGUUGAUGUAUGCACUUGAGGAGCAGUAAAUCGUUGCCAAAAAUGACACAUUCGCCAAUGGAUACAAGUGCUUUCAACACACCACAAAAUGUUACACCAAAAACUAGUGGGGGACCUAUCUUUACCCUAGUAGAAAAUGUGGCAACAACCAGUGGCAUAACUGCCACUACAGGAUUGACAAGUGCAACAUAAAUUGUUGCGUCGCAAGGGGCCAUUACCCUGCCAUAACCAAGCGUCUCUAUACCAACUCCCUUGGGAGGCAUUAGAAGUGGAGAUCCAAGAUCACCAUUCCAAACAAUAUUUACAAUUCCCUCAUUAGGAAGAUAAAUGCCAUAUGGUAUGCCUACAUCGAUGAUGAUGUGCCUAAAUAGUAAUAGCCGUCAUAUUCAGAUAUCACAACGGCUGGGAGGUUCACGUUUAAUAGCCAUCACGCUUCUACGUGCACGCAAGCGGAGUUUUUAGACUAGGAGGAAUCAAUUAUAUUCCUUAUGAUACACCAUCAUUAAAUUCGACAUCCAUUAUGGCCAUGAGGCGGAAAAUGGAUGAGAGUAACCAUGAGUUAGUAAAUACUCUGAACCAACAAAUGGGAACAAGAUUUAACCCUUUAAGUACCAAUACUAGCCAAAGUUACAAAGCGUAGGCGAAUCAGAUGGGUCGAAUAGCCGAUUUCUUCGGCGCCUUUCAAGUCCAAAUGCGACCAACACUCCAGGUGUCAGAUGCUAGGCAAGUCGAAACGCCUGAAAUAGGAACGGACCAAAAUCUAGGGCAACCCAUAGGGUUUCGACAAGUAGAUCCAAAUAGGGACGAAGAGGAGUACAUAGCCCAGCAUACUCCUAGGCCCAUUAUAGUGCAGAGGAAUCACUACGAUAAUCAUGUACUAAGAAAUGUCCAACGAAAUAAUAUCGCAGGACAAAACAAUAUAGUUUUCAUUGUCGAAGCGAUUAUGGCACAAAAUGGGUUCAACAUGGGGUUACAUAGACCCACUUUCGUGUCCCCAUUGCUAGAGUUCAUUAGAAAAACUGAGUUUCCUAGAGGAUGGAAAGUCCCUAAAUUCGCCAAGUUCUCUAGGGAGACCAAUGAGUCCACAGUGGAACAUGUCGCCAGAUAUCAAAGUGAGGUGAGCAACAUAACAAAUAAUUAGAACUUGAAAAUGAAAUAUUUUCCCUCAUCGCUAAUAAAGAAUGUGUUUACGUGUUUUACGACACUACCUCCAAAUUCCAUACACACUUGGAAUCAAUUGGAAAAUAAUCUUUCAUGAACAGUUUUACAUGGGCCAAUCAAAGAUAAGUUUGAAAGAGCAGGCCAUUGUAAAAAGAAAGGUUCUUGAGUCUAUAGACGAAUUACCAGUCACCAACAUUGAAACCUGUAAUCGCCUUUUUGACAACAACAACAACUCAUGGUGCAUGAAUGAAUGUAUGCAUUAUCACAAUAACUCAAUAACACAAACGAUAUCACAUUGAACCACAUAAUUUCCUAUACAACAUCAACAUGAUAGUUUCACAUCGAAACCAUUCAUCUCAACUCACAUGUCACAAAAACACGACAAGUAAAUAACCUAUAAUUAUAUUAGCAAUUUACCACAUCAAUUUAUCAACAACAGAAACUCAAUGUUUUGCUAAACGAUUCAACAUAUCAUCAUGAAAACCGCAACAACAUUACACACAUAAUCUUAAUUUAAUCAUCCCAUAUCUCACCACCACUGUGUAGUUCAACAUGUUAGGUUUCCAAUGCUUCGAACGACAUCUAAAUCGGACAUACAGAAUGAAAGUUAUAACUAAAAUCGUCGGGAUAUGUCAACUAAUUCGAAAACAAAUUUGUCUCAAAAUUAUAUUAUGCAAUAGAUUGCAAUCAAUGUGAAAUCGAUUUCACCGAAAUAUUUUUCAAAAAUUUCCACUAUGUGCAAUCGAUUCACACUAAAGAAUUUUUAGUGCAAACGAUUGCAAUCAAUUGACACUGAAGGAUUUUCUAAAAAAAUACUUUUCUUUGUUACGAUUGCAGAACCAAUUCUAACCCUUCAAACCUCAUAUCAGUCCCAAGUUAAUCCCCCAAAAACUCUCAAAAUCGCAUUCUAACAUCACCAACAGAUCAAACAUGAUUAAAUUGACAUAACUACACUUUUACCUUAUGAUUUCAUCAUCCAAAAUCAUGCCUUAAAACACUAAAAUUUCAUCAAAACUCAAUAACACACCAUUGUAACAACAACACACCAUUGCAAUUCAACUCAAUCAUGUAAAAACAGAACUAUCAACAUACAAUUUAUCAACAAUCAAUCAAUAUUCAACAACAUCCAUAAAAGUUCCUUAAAAUUCAUCAAAACAUCAAUUUAAGAGAAAACCCUAUUGGAGGUUAAGGAAACCUCUCUACCCUUUCAUGAUUUAGCACCCAUAGAUGAAUAGUUUCCCCUUACCUUAGAUUUCAGAAUUUUCAACAAAAGGAAGGUGAAUUGGUGUUCUUCUCUCAAGCCCGAGCACCCCUCUUCAAGCUUUCUUUUCAAAAUCUUUUUCUAUUUCACGUACUGAUAGAAUGAGAGUUAUUUCUCUCUAGUUUUCUAUUUUUAUAAAUAAUUGAUUAUCUCUCUCUAAUUAUAUCUUUGACCCAACAAACUAAAUAUCUUACUCACUUCUCCCCUUAAUUUAUAUUAAUUCACAGUAUACACCUCAUUCUUACUAAUUUUCUAUUUCUAUUAUUUUAAUUUAAUUAAUUCUAUCCAACCAACUAAUUAAUUCACAUAAUUCACACAAAAUAACUAUUUUAAUUAAUUUCACAUCAAUUAAAUUAAAUAAAUAAGUAAAAUAAUCGAUAAUUCUAAAUCGGGAUGUUACAUGUUAUGUGUAUAAUAUAUUAUAUAUGCUGUUUUUUGUGGGAUUUAGGUGUUAUGGGAUCAAAAUCGGAGCUUUAGAAGAGCUCAUAUGGUGGAAACACGGUUUCUGCGUUCUGCACAAUGGUGACGGGUGUCACCACCAUGAUGAGCCGACUGUCAUUGUGCUGAGAGUUGAUGAUCGUCAACCUGAUUACAGACCAACUGUCAUGGUCUUCAGAGUAGAUGAUCCUGCUGGUUGUCGUCGGGAUGACGAUUGUGUGAGGAGGGGGAUGACAGACACAUCAUGAUAACCGACAUGACAUGUGGGUUGACCGUCAUGACCUAUGUUAACCAGUUUUGGAUCGUCGACUCUACUUUUAAUAUACUUUCUGAUUACGGCGAUAUUUUGUUCCUUUUUUGAUGAGUUUGGUAAGACUGAAUCAGUGUUGUUAAAUGUUGUUGUGAAAUAAAUAUAUGUCGGUGAGGUUUGUGGUUCAGAUAAGAACCAAUAGGUAAUUGAAUGAUCAGUGAUGAGACUAAAUCAGUAAUAUAACUAUGAUGUCCGAAUAUUGGUGAUGAGAUUGUUCAGUAACAUAACUUUGAUAUCUAAAUUGAUGAGUAGAUUGAUACCACAUGCAUUUUGUGACGAGGUAAUGAUUGCAUUAUAUAUACAUAUGCACUUAUAAUUGAUAAUGGUUGUGAUAAUAUAUAUUAGUAAUGAUCGUGAAUAAUAUAAAUACGUUUAUAUUGAAUGUCUUAUUUUUUACUAUUUUAUACACCGUUAAUAUUUUUGAACGUAUUCUUAUAUCUAGCCUAAAGAAAUUCAACAAUGUUAAAUUUUUAGGAAUAUUGAAGUACAACUCAUGCAUAAUUUAACAAAUUUAAUUUAAUAAAAGAAAAAUUAAAAAAAAAACGGAAAAUCACGUUCACAAGAGGAAAUGACACAAUUUUUUUUUUAAGAUGCAAAAUGGAUUUAUUAUAAAGAAAGAAUAAGAUAAGACUAUGUAUUGCCAAUAUAACGAUUACAGAAUAGUAAAUCAACACAUACAAUGCAAUUGUGAUUUGCGACGGUAUAUAGUAAACCAACACACAACGCCGAACCGGUUUAAAAAAAGCACACAAUAUUAACCGGUUCGGUUCGUUGGACCCGGUUCAGAUCUGUUUAAAACAAACCACCGUUCUCCGUGACCUUUUCAUUGAUUCGUUUUCCGUUACCAUGAGUGGGACCCAACUUUUCUCGCCCUCAGAAAUCAUGUGUCGAGAAUGCCACGGUUACGCCACGUGUCCUGAAAGAGAAUCGAUACGUGUAGAACAAACUCCAAUAAUUCAUCCAGGUGUGACAGCAAGUCAGAACCCAAUGAUAGAACCGGAUACAGAGAACCAUACCCCAGCAUCCAGAAAAAUAAAUAAAACAAAAGAGAAGCGGGUACAGGGAGUUACCAUGGGACCGGAUGUAGGAGAUAAUAUCCAUUCGGCGGAGACGAGUAGAAAGAAAGCAAGUUUUAUUUAAACCACGCGUUGUGCCAGCUGUUAAGUACGUGGAGUCCGUGAUUGCGUGCAGAAUGGACCAUGUAGGACCCACUUCACUCUCUCUGCACACUACUAGUACACUACAUCAAUUUUAUUGUUUUUCUUAAUUUAAUAUUAUAUUUUUUUAUUUAGUUUUUUUUGGAAAUGAAAAAUGAUAUGAAGGUGGAUGAUGAACUAUCACUUAUCUGUCAUGCUGGCUACUACUACCCACUUCCCUUACUUGUCAGCAAUCCCAUUCAAUAAUAGCCUCAGGUUUUUCUCCUACACUCAAACCUUAAUUAUUCUAUAUCAUUUUUAUUCAUAUAUAGUUUAUAAUUUAUAUAUUAAUCAUUUAAAGUAUUUUAUUUUUUAAUAAUUUAACUGAUUCGGUUCCAUCUUCAUAUGCAUGUGUUUUUAUUAAAAGAAAUCUUCAUAUGCAUGUUUUGGAUUCUUCUUCUACACUGCUGUUUGAUGAGACCUCUUUAUUUAUUGUUUUUUUUAUUAAUGAAAUGCUGAAUAAAGGCCUCUUUUAUUUAUCACCGAUAGCAUAGUUGACUUUGACCACCAUCCUUUAUUACCGACACAUAAUCUCUUGGCCAUUUUGCAUCUAAAAUAGUACUAGUACUCCAUAUUGUGCACAUUUCUUAAGUAAAAUAAUGGAUUUUUAUAGAAAAAAUAGUUGCAUUUAUUAAAAUAUUUUUAUCAAUAUUAUCAUAGUUAAUAAAAAAAGUUAUCUAUAAGUAAUUUUUUUUAUUAACGUGAUUUUAGUUGGAUUAAUCUAAUAAUUAACUACACAAAACAUAUGAAAUAUAAAAAUUAAAACUAAAACUAUAUUUUAGUAAAAAAAAACACCCAAAAAUACAUAUAGUCUUAGAGUCAACCACGUCUUCAUUUCAAAUUACUCUAGAAAACCAGAACUUUUACCCAAUAAAACAUGUCUUCAUUUCAGAAGUUGCCCUCUAGGUGUUAUAGUUGAUUUAACUUUUUUUUAAAUGUUUAUGGUAAAAUUAGCUUUCAUAAAAUACUUAAAAUUCCUUGGAUGACUCAACAAAGGAAUUAUCCACAUUACAUUUCCCCCACUUCUUUUUUUAAUACAUAUUACUUUUUAUGAAAAAAUAAAUAUAGAAAAGUUAAUUUUAUUUACUAUUGUUAAUAUUUAUUGGAUAUUUAUUAUUAUUAAUAUUUAUUUAAUAAAUAUAAAAUUUAAUUAUUAUACAUCGUCAAUAUAAUUUUUUUAUGAUUAUCAUAUUUAUAAAUAAAAAAUAAAAAAUGUUUAUAAUAAAAAUAAAAAUAUCUCUAAUAAUCUAACUAUAUAAUAAUUUAAAUUAAAUUAUUUUGUAUGAUGUAUACCAUUAAACUCAUAGAUAUAUGCAAUUUGAUACCCAAAAUAUACAUAACUAUUUUGUUUCCUCAUAUACAUUCCAUUGUAUAAGAAAGUAGUCUUGAAAGGGUGAAUUUGUUAACUAUAUAAUAUUCCAUUCUAGAAGUAGAAACUAAGUUACACAUUUAAUCUUCUUCUAUUUUAAUAUCUUGAUGUGCAUUAUUUUCAUUUUAAAUAAAAAUCAUCUAUUAUUAACCAAUGGCUCAUGUGAAACUUGGUGGAUAAGACCAAAGAAGAAUAUAACUUUUUUUUUCUCACCCUUUUUCUCUCUCUCUCUCAGAAAGUGAAUAACUUGGUCAUCAAUUAUACUCACAUCAAUGAAAUGAGAUCUUUUAUAUAAAAAACAAACUCUAGUGAGAGAAAAACUAAGAAUUUAGUUUAUGUUUUCUUUAUGGUAAUGUGAGAGAGAUACAGAGAGAGAGAAAGAAGAAGAAACAAAGUGUUUUCACUGAUAUUCUCUACUUCUCCAUUCUAUGAACAAAGUUGAACAUUUUAAUCUUCUGGGGUGUGAUAAAAAUUGAAUCUUUUUAUCUUAUUUCAAAGAAUCACAAACAUGGCAAAACCAGGGGUGUUAGAUUCUGAUCCAGAGAUUAUGGUGAAGAAAGUUCUAGAGAUGAAGAAGGAGUUAAAGAAGCUUGUGAGGUCCAUUGUUGAGGAUGAAGAUACAAGCAUUGAAGCUCUUGAUAAAGCUAAAGAAACUCUUUGUGUUCUUAAGGAUUUGAAGCUUAGAAAGAAAUCUCACUCUUCAAUGUCUUUUAAGAUAAACAAAAAUGUUACUUUCCCAGAUGAAUUCAAAUGUCCACUUUCCAAGGAAUUGAUGAGAGAUCCUGUCAUUGUUGCUUCUGGUCAGGUUAGUGCCAGAAAUUUUGGUGUUUGAGUUCUGAUUUUAAUUUUUUUUUGUUAAUAUUGAGAAGAUGUUGGAAAAAUAUAGAAAAAAACAAAUAAAAUUGAAAGUUUUGUUUUUUUUAUUCUUUUGUGUAAAUAUCUAGGAACUGUUACAAAAAAAGUUGAGGAAUAAUCAUACAUUAAGAUAUAAGCUAUUGAUUCUGAGUUUGGCUUUUUGUCUAUCUCUUUUGCUGGAAUUUUUGUACUAUAUUCUGUUAGCUGACUAUAAAGUUUGUGGUAAAGAUAGAAAAGGAAUAUAUUCAGAUUUUUCCUUAUCAAGAAUCUUGGAAAUGUAUAUUUCUAUACUAUGAUCUUAAUAAUAUAUACCUCUUAUUAUGUCAAGCUCAUUGAUAAUUCUGCAGAGACAUCUGAUAACACUGAUGAGGACGCGGGUUAGGGUGCAAAUUCUAACCCGUAGCGUCUUAUUUAUUCACUUUUAAAAGGAGAUGAAAUUCCGAUCAUUAAUCUAUUAGACCAGGAAAUAUAUAUAUUAGAAUUAUUUAAAAAAAUUUGAAGUCCUGUAUAGAGACUCUAUGUAAUCAGAGUUUAUUUAAACAUGAUUCAACUCUGAUAAAUUUUGUGUCAUGUGUGAUAGUCUGUUUUAUACGGCCUCAGCCUCAGAGAUAGAUGGCCCUAUGUAUAGCUCUUAUGAUGUUUUACAUUUUUUUUUUGUUCAAUCUAUGUUUUUCAAUUAUCUAGUAGUUUUUGUUCAAUCAAUGUUCUUUGAAAAAAGAAAGAAAAAAGGGAGUAAAUUUGAUGGAAAGAGAAAGAGUGGGAAGUAAAAAAUGUACAAAAUAUUCUUUGUUCUUGAGUGAGUAGUGGUGGUGAUUGUUUCUUUGUGUAAAACUUUUGACUGAUUUUCACAAAAGGGAAUAAUUAAAUUUUAUUGUUCUCUAACUUUUUUUCUUUUUCCUAAUUUUAACUUUGAUGCCUUCCCCACCAAAACUACCUUUUCUUUUUUCUGUCUCACUCUUUUUUCUGUGCAUUGAUGCCUCAAGAUCUUUGUUGAUUGAAUCAAUAAUGACUUAAAACAAAUUGGAGAUUUUUUUCUUGUAUAAUUAUGAAAUUCAUCCAUAUUAUUUACAUUUAUUUUUAAAAUUUUGGUCUAGUAGUCUAAUAGUCAGAAAUAAGUGAGAUUCGCAGGUUUGAACUUGCGUUCUUGAAACUGGAUGUCUAAAUAGUUAAUGAAUUUUAGUUAAAGACGAAUCGCUCGGGUGAAUCUGAGUCUAGAUAAUCAUUUACCCGACUUUAGUUAUUUCUCGGCUAAAUUUCGGAUUACAUGAUAUUUGUUGGUUUAAAUUUUGCAGACAUAUGAUAGACCAUUCAUUCAAAAAUGGUUGAAGGCUGGAAAUAGGACAUGCCCUCAAACUCAUCAAGUUCUCUCACACACUCUCCUUACUCCAAAUCAUCUUAUAAGAGAAAUGAUAGAAAAAUGGUCUAAAAAUCAAGGGAUUGAAUUGUGCAAUGUUAUUAAUUAUAUCAAUGGUGAAGGUGCUAAAGAAGCUGAUCAGAAUCACUUUUUAUGUUUGCUUGAGAAAAUGUCAUCAACACUUUGUGAUCAGAAAGAAGCUGCAAAACAACUUAGGUUGUUGACAAAGAAGCAUCCUUGUUUUAGAGUACUUUUUUGCGAUUUUGAAAAUGCAAUUCCUCAAUUGCUUAAGCCUAUUUGCGACGGAAGUAGUAUUAACCAUGAUCUUCAAGAAGACGUGAUCACGACACUUCUCAAUAUCUCGAUUCAUGACAACAAUAAGAAACAAGUAGCUGAAACUCCAAUGGUGAUUCAUCUCCUUAUGAAGUCAUUGAGAUGUGGAACAAUCGAGACACGAGCCAAUGCUGCAGCGACCCUUUUCACGUUAUCAGCACUAGACUCGAACAAAGAACUUAUAGGAAAAUCAAACGCCUUGAAACCGCUUAUCGACCUAUUGGAAGAAGGGAAUCCCUUUACUAUGAAAGAUGUUGCUUCAGCAAUAUUCACAUUAUGUAUGAUGCACGACAACAAGGCAAGAGCGGUGAAAGACGGUGCGGUUAGAGUGAUUAUGACGAAGAUGAAAAACCGGCUUCACGUCGACGAAUUACUAGCUAUCCUCGCGUUACUUUCGACUCAUCAGAAAGCUGUUCUUGAAAUGGCAGAGCUUGGAGCUGUUCCUUGUUUGCUAAGCAUCAUGCGAGAGAGCUCGUGCGAACGCAAUAAGGAGAACUGCGUAGCGAUUCUUCAAACUAUAUGUUUAUAUGAUAGAUCCAAGUUGAGGGAAAUAAAGGAAGAAGAAAAUAGUUAUAGAACAAUAUCUGAACUUGCAAAGAAUGGAACAUCAAGGGCUAAGAGGAAAGCUAGUGGAAUUCUUGAGAGGUUGCAUAGGGUUGUUAAUAUCACACACACUGCAUAAUAAUGUUCCUUGAUUCUUCUCUCUCUCUCUCUCAAGGUAUAUUGUUCAUAUGUGAGCCUUUAAGUUAUUGAAGGUAAAAAUCUAUAAGCACUUAUGUUUCAAAAACAAUUAUGUACAUUCUUUUCUCUCAAUGAAGUUAUUCUCAUGUUAAUUAGCCAGUUACAGAAUAAAGUGAAGCUAUAUAUAUAUAUGCUCUUUGUCGAUGAAUUGUUAAAGAAUUUCUACAAAGUUCUCCAUGUGUAUAUAUCAAUAUAUCAAUAUUUCACAUGGAGCAAAUCUAGUUUAAUGAAAACUUUAUAGUUCUAUACCUUGCAUAGUACCUAGGCAUCAAAGAGCAAAUCUAGUGAAGGGAUAGAAAAAAUGGACAUUCUAGUUCAUCAAUAGGAACUAUACGGUGAGUGACCAUGCAAUAUUUAUAAGUUUUGAAAUGUUUCGGACACUUUUCUAUGGUCUCAAAUAAUUGGGGAAAAUAUAAAAACUAUUAAGAUUGUGAAAAAUCUCUAGUAAUCUUCCUCUUUCGAAUCUCUAAUCGGCCAAAGAUCCGAAAAAGCAGACAUAAUCUAGAGCAUCAAAAAGCAGACAUAAUCUAGAGCAUCGUCGUAAAAGACUGGUGAAUAGGUUAGACCUCCCUUAAGAAUCAUACACCUGAUCCCAACUACCAAGGUGUCAACUACCAUUGAUUCUGAUCGGUUGACUCCCUACAUCGCAGUUAAAACAACACUUUUAUAAUGAGUUUAUAUUGAGUAUAAGAGAACACAAAAAGUCAAAUCCUUAUUCCUUCACAAAACUAAAUAACGUGGAACUUCAAAGAACUUGUAUCCUAUAUGUAACCUCAGAUUAUCUCUUCAUUUGCAAAAUUAAGGGAUGUGAGACUUUUUCAACAUGUAUAUUUUCAACCAAUCCCAACAAUCUCCACCUUGAUUGAAAAUAACACAUAAACUUUCAUGGUUUUCACCGUAAAGAGUAUGAACAUAAUGUAAAUCAGGAAAUAAUCUUUGCAUUUAUUAUGAAUAAUUUACUUUUAUAGAAUAAGAAAUUAGUCAUUACGAGUUGUAAUUAGUCAUUAUAAAUUGUAAUUACAUGUAAUUACUGACAUUAUUAUAUAUAAUAUCAAAUGCAAUGAAAAAUGCAUCAAGUCAAUUUUCCUGAUAUGGUAUCAGUAGGUUCGAUCAAACCUGGAAAAUCUUGUUAUCUUGGCUGAACAACGAUACCCCAUUGGUUCGCUCUCGUAAUUGUGUUCUUUGUUCGUGUUCGUUUCAAAAUCCUUUCUUUCGAAAUCGAAACCUUGUAGCUGCUUGAGAUUAUAAAUCCUUGGUUGUCAUUUCGUUAUUUCGUCUUGGAGAUUCUCGUUGUUGCGCAGUUAUCGCUAUCGAUUUUUGUUCUUGUUCAUUUGGUUGCGUUCAACCCCGUCGGUCAAACCUAUUGCCAUCGUGAUUAUCUAUUGGAUUUAUGGUUUUGGUUUGCUGUUGCAAAAUGUUUUUGUUCUUGGUUCGUGAUUCUGGAUUGUGAUAAUCUUCUGCUAUUGUCGCUCCUUCCAUAUCAUGGUAUAUGAUCGUGGUCUUGUUGUUGUUCGUGGGUGGUAUUGUUACUACGGUUUCUAAUUAUUUCUUGUUGCUGACCACUUACUGUUAAUAUUAUAUAAUAAUAAUUAUUAUUAUUAUCAUUAUAAUAAUAAAAUAAUUAGUGUGAUUGUAUCUGGUGGCAUAAUAAUUUAGAUGGCUUCAGAAAAUGAUAAGAACUUUUGUGUCUGAUUUAUCAGAAAGAAUUAUUCAAUUUGGAAAUUUCGAUUCAAAAAUUAUGUCAAGGGAAAUGGAUUGUGGACUCACCUAGAUGGUGUAUCCAAGGCACCAACUGAGAAAGUUGCACUAGAUACACGAGAAACUAAAGAUGUUCAAAUAAUCACUUGGAUCCUCAGUAUUAUUGAUCCUCAAAUGAUCAAUAAUUUACGCUCAUUUUCAACUACUCAAGAAAUAUGGAACUAUUUGAAGCGUAUUUACAACCAAGAUAAUGCAGCCAAGCGCUUUCAAUUGGAGUUGGAGAUAGAUAAUUACAAACAAGGUACUUUAUCUGUUCAAGAAUAUUAUUCUGGUUUUCUGAAUCUGUGGAUAAAACAUUUUUCUAUUAUACAUGUUGGUGUUCCCAAGACUUCUCUCGCGGCUAACCAAGAGGUCUAUAAAACAAGUAGUCGAGAUUAAUUUCUCAUGAACCUUCGUCCAGAAUUUGAAGUUGUCAGAGGUGCCUUGCUGAAUAGGAAUCUUGUUCCUUCUUUAGAUACAUGUGUUGGAGAACUUCUAAGGGAGGAACAACGACUUAUUACUCAAGGAGCCAUGUCUCAUGUUGCAGUCAUUUUCGAGCCAGUGACAAUUGCAUAUGUUGCUCAAAGUAGAGGUAAAGAUCGUGAUAUGAGACAUGUUCAAUGCUUCACUUGCAAACAAUUUGAUCAUAUUGCUCGUAUCUGCAAUAAGAAGUUUUGUAAUUACUGCAAGCAACAGGGUCAUAUUAUCUCUGAGUGUCCCACAUGUCCUCCACGACCAAAGUGGGAAGAAUGUUUCCACUCCAGUUUAUUUCGAGUCAUUUAUCUCUUGCUUGUAAUAAUGUUUUGAAUUCUUAUGAGGAUUGGCAUAGAAAAUUGGGUCAUCCAAACUCUUCUGUUUUGUCUCAUUUAUGUAAAACUGGUUUGUUAGGAAAUAAAAUUGUUAUUUCUAAUGCCUCUGUUUCAUGUUCUGUUUGCAAAUUGACUAAAAGUAAAACACUUCCUUUUCCGUCUGAUGCUCACCGUGCCUCCACUUGUUUUGAGAUGAUUCAUAGUGAUGUGUGGGGAAUGUCUCCUGUAGUUUCUCAUGCUCACUAUAAAUAUUUUGUCAUAUUUAUGGAUGAUUAUAGUCAUUUUACUUGGAUAUAUUUUCUCCGUUCUAAAUCUGAAGUGUUUUCUAUGUUUACGAAAUUUUUGACAUAUGUUGAAACUCAAUUUCAAAGUGUUAAAAAUUUUCGCUCUGACUCUGGUGGUGAGUACAUGUCUCAUAAGUUUCAGGAAUACCUUCAAUAAAAAGGAAUCUUGUCUCAACGAUCUUGUCCCAAUAUCCCUCAACAAAAUGGUAUGGCAGAACGUAAGAAUCUUCAUUUGCUUGAUGUAACACGUACCUUACUUCUCCAAGCUUCUGUACCAUCCCGAUUUUGGGUGGAGUCUCUUUCCAUAAUUGUCUUCUUGAUCAAUUAUCUUCCUUCUACGAUUAUUGAUCUUGAUUCUCCUUUCUUUCAUCUUUUUAAAAUUCAUCCUGAUUAUAGUGCUUUAUAUACUUUUGGGUGUGUGUGUUUUAUCCACUUACCUCCAUUUGAAAUGCAUAAGCUUAGAGCACAGUCCGUUCAAUGUGCAUUUUAUGGGGUAUAGUCACUCUCAUAAGGGAUUUAUGUGUUAUGAUGUCACUAACCAUCGUUUUCGUAUUUCUAGGAAUGUGACAUUUUUUGAUAAUCAGUUUAUGUUUCCAUGUGUUUCUCUUGCCAUUAAUGAUAUUUUUACUCUUCCUAAAUUUUCUAUUAUGCCUCAAUUUACAGAACGUUAUAAACCAGGUCAUGUGUAUAUCAGAAAACACAGACAACAUGCUCCCACACCCCUUCCCGACGCUGAACCGCCACCUGAUCCUGUAGCAGUUGAACCACAUCGUUCUGGUCGAAUAUCUCGUGCACCAGAUAGAUAUUCACCAGACAUGUAUGAUUCCUUGCAUACUUCUCUGACUGCCACACUCUCUAGCGUAUCUAUUCCUACUUGUUACUCACAGGUUGUUAAAGAUGUAUGAUGGAUAAAAGCAUUGAAUGAAGAACUCCAAGCUCUUCAAGAGAAUUUUACAUGGGAUAUUGUCUCUUGUCCUCCUGAUGUCAAACCUAUAGGUUGCAAAUGGGUAUAUUAUGUGAAAUUGAAUUCUGAUGGAUCCCUCAACUGUUACAAUGCUCGUUUGGUUGCUUUAGGAAACAAGCAAGAACAUGGAAUUGAUUAUGAUGAGACAUUUGCACCGGUUUCCAAAAUGACAACUGUCUACGCAAUCAUCUCUAUAGUUGCUUCUAGUGGGUGGUAUCUUCAUCAAAUGGAUGUGAAAAAUGUUUUUCUUCAUGGUGACCUGACAAAAGAUGUAUAUGACUCCACCUCAGGGCUUAUUCUCUUCAUCUAAAGGCGUGUGCAUGCUCAAACGCUCCUUAUAUGGUUUGAAACAGGCACCUAGAGCAUGGUACUAGAAAUUCCGCCUCACUCUACUUGGAUUCUCAGUUACUCAGAGUCAGUAUGUUUCCUCUUUAUUUAUUCAUAGCACAUCUGCAACUAUUGUUCUGCUUCUUUUGUAUGUUGAUGAUAUGGUUAUUACUGGUUCUGAUCAUGCUUCCAUUCAGCGGCUUAAGCAACGAUUACAUGCCUCAUUUCACAUGAAAGAUCUGGGUAAUCUACAUUAUUUUCUUGGUCUUGAGGUUCAUUCUACAUCCAAGGGCAUCUUUCUCCAUCAACACAAGUAUGCUACAUAUUUGAUUUCUAUGGUCGAUCUCGAAUCGGCUAAUCCGAUAGAUACUCCUCUUUAGGUUAAUGUUAAAUAUCAUCGUGAUGAUGGUGAUCUUUUGCCUGAUCCCUUAUUGUAUAGACAACUUGUGGGUAGCCUUAACUACUUGACUAUCACUCGUCCUGACAUAUCUUUUGUUGUUCAACAAAUAAGUCAAUUCAUGCAUUGUCCUCGCCAUAUUCACUUGGUCGCGGUUCGUCGUAUAAUUCGCUACUUAAAGGGAACCUCUCACCACAGAUUAUUCAUUUCCGUUGGAAUUUCUCUUAAGUUGAGUGCUUAUAGUGAUGUUGAGUGGGCAGGAUGUCCUGAUACUCGUCGAUCUAUUACUGAUUGGUGCAUGUUUUUUGGUUCUUCAUUGAUCUCUUGGAAAAGUAAGAAGCAAUCAAGAGUUUCCAAAUCUUCUACUGAAUCAGGGUAUCAUGCCAUGUCUGUUACUUGUUCAGAAAUGCUUUGUCUUCGUGGUCUUUUGGUUGAACUUGGAUUUCCCCAAAAAUAGCCAACUUCACUUUAUACUGACAAUACAAGUGACAUUCAAAUUGUUGUGAAUCCUGUUUUUCAUGAACACGCCAAACAUAUAGAAGUUGAUUCUCAUAGAAUAGGAAAUUAGUCAUUACGAGUUGUAAUUAGUCAUUAUGAGUUGUAAUUAGUCAUUAUGAAUUGUAAUUACUGACAUAUUAUAUAUAGCAUCAAAUGCAAUAAAAAAGGCAUCAAGCCAAUUUUCCUGACACAUAAAUAGUAUAAACAUGUAUAUAUUUUCAACCAACCCCAAUAUUUUAUAGUCUAAAACACAAAAUGGUAUCUUCAUAAUAGAUGUUCAAAACACAUAAUUGAAGACUAGAUGUAAGCGUCACGAUUUUUUAUUGAACCCAAAUAAAUAUGAUGUGUUCCUUUCUUAUCCCAUAUCUCUUUACUUUAUUAUAUUUAUUUAUCUGUAAUCUUUUUCUUCAUCUACUUUUUUUUUUUAAAUUAACUCGAAAUCCUCAAAAUUCGUGAAAGGGAUUCUAACCUCUCUCUCUCUCUCUCUCUCUCUCUCUCUCUCUCUCUCUCUCUCUCUCUCUCUCUCGCUCUCUCUCUCUCUCUCUCCUCUCUCUCUCUCUCUCUCUCUCUCUCUCUAUAUAUAUAUAUAUAUAUAUAUAUAUAUAUAUAUAUAUAUAUAUAUAUUAUAUAUAUUAUAAUAUAUAUAUAUAUAUAUAUAUAUAAUAUAUUAUAUAUAUAUAUAUAUAUAUAUAUAUAAUAUAUAUAUAUAUAAUAUAUAUAUAUAUAUAUUAUAUAUAAUAUUAAAAGCCUCAUUGGAAGAUCCUUGGGAUAAGUUUCAUCACAACUUGCUCCUCGUCCUUAAUAAGCUCUAUAAUAAAGUCCUACUCCUUAUUCCAUCACAAAAUUAAACAAUGUGAGACUUCAAAGAACUUAUAUCUUACAUAUAGUUUAGACUCUAUCUUCAUUCAUAAAACUAAGCGAUGUGAGACUUCUCAACAUGUAUAUUUUCAACCAAUCCCAACAAUCUCCAUCUUGAUUGAAGAUAACACAUAACAUUUCAUACUCUUCACCGGAAAGAGUAUCAACAUAAAUAGUAUAAAUAUGUAUAUGUUUCAAUCAACCCCAACACUUUAUAGUCUCAAACACAAAAUAGUAUCUGCAUAGUAGAUGUUCAAAUCACAUAAUUGAUGAUUAGAUGUAAGCGUCACAAUUUUUUAUUGAACCCAGAUGUCAUACCCCAAAAUCGCCCGUUAAUUUUGCAAGACAUUUUUUAGGCACCCCAACUUAUUUUUCAAGGCAUUGACCUUAAAGGAACCAAACCCAGCUCGCAGAUGGCCAAAUCCAGAAAAUGGCCCAAACUGGCAUGCUCGCUAGGCGAGCAAAUCCUCCGCCUAGCGAACCCUUCGCUACAAUACUCGCCUAGCGAAGCUUGCGAAUACAGAAAAUUCUGGGCUUCAUUCUGAGCCAUUAGGUCACAAUAAACCAUUAUAAAUACCAACAUUUCAGUCAGAAAGGGGGAGGAGAAGGAGACGAACCGGAACCCUAGCAAUCAAACCUUGGAGGCUAACCAAGAGGAUUUAGAGCAACCCUGAAGGAAACCCUGAAGGCAACUCAUCUGCCCAAAGUACCUCCGCCCAACUCAAUCCGAUACAAAAGUGACCUGCCAAUUCAACGUUGCAAUUCGAUUCAAACAGGUUUGCGCAUCACUACUGUUUUAUGCUUCCAAUCUGUAAUCUCUGAAUACAUAAUGCAUCAUGAUUGAAUUUCUGGAUACGUAAUUAGAGUUUGCAUGUGAGUUUUAAAAUGUGCCUGAAUAUCCUGAAUGUUGACCAUGUUAUUUCUGUAAUUGAAUGCCAUAGGGCGUGCAACAUGCUGAGAUACGUACUGUUCUGGAAUUCAAAACCCGCAGCCCUCGCUAGCACAUCGCUAAGCGAGGCAUUUAGCGAGCAUUCGCUAAGCCUUCGCUAGGUGAAGGCAGAGGCGAACGUGACAGUCGCUAAUAUUUUGGCUGUUCUGUCUAUGCUUAUCUGAUCUGUUCUAUUUAUCAUGCGUUAUUUUGCCUGACAUUCCCUACUGCUGUGUUUCUUUUGCGGUGUAAUCCUCGAUUGCACCCCCAUUUGGUAUUCUGGCCUGUUUGCUGAAUAUUGUAAGGACUCACAUACUCCCGAAGAGGUAGCUUGCUAGGUAUCCCACUUUAUUUGUGGGAUACCCUUGUGGAGAUUCAUCCUAUUUACUUAAUUGAUUUUAAUGUAAGAGGUUCAUCCUAUUUAUUUAAUUGAUUUUAAUGUGGAGAUUCCUCCUAAUUACUUGAUUAAUAUGGACCUAAUUACCUAAUUGAUUACAACUACCUAAUCGAUCGUAAAACUAUUCCGUUGAAAUAUGUGAUCUUGGACCUCUCUUGUUGCCUUACAUAUUUACGGCAUUAUGGUCAUGUCCCGGAAUGUGGGAUACACUUAGCAAAGACCUUCGGUUAAAUCAUCAUGUCCUAUAAAAUUAUCAUAGUCCCUCGGAGUUGCCUGCGAAUAUACAAUUUUGCCCCUCGAUGACCCUUCGUUGUAGCCUACGGUUAAAUGAUGAUCGUCCCUUCGAAUUGAAGGGAUCCUUACAAAUGUUGCCUUUAAUGACAACGAUGACCCUACGAUGACCCUUUUACAUCCAAAGGAAUAAACUACUUACUUCUUAAUAGUAAGGACAGUUUUACCCUUAAGGAUAGGAAAUGCCAUAAAGGCCUUGGGUAGUAUAAACCCUUAAUGUGCUGGCUCACCACCUAAAAUAUUUUUCACACCCACACCUUUCAAACAUCUUGAGAAAUCACCACUUGGUAUACAUUCAUACUAGAACUCAUUACCGAGUUAAUAUUUUUCUAAGUAACUUCAAACUAAACGAGACUAACCCACUUUUGUAUACAUUCAUACAAGAAUCAAUUACAAAGUUUAAAUUCUCUUGUUCAAAACAUAUUUUUUAAGCAAUUCACAAACACUUUUUCAGACAAACAUAAUGAUCCAGCAAAUAAGAGCCCAUGAUAACCAUGGAUCCAAAGGGUGCUAACACCUUCCCGUUUGAUAAUUACCUUCCCGACCCAAAAUCUAAUUAAGUCUUUCCUGUUCUUUCCACCUUUCCUUAUGGAUAAAGAAAAGUCAGGUGGCGACUCUUGCUAUCCGCACAUUGUGCUUUCCAAAGCAAAAACACACCAAAGUCAGUUCACGUAUCUGACAGAACUGGCGACUCUGCUGGGGACUUUAAAAAGAGAAGGUUACCUAAAAAUAAGAUCACUUAUUAAAAAUUGUCUGAUUUACUUUUAAGGGUUUGCUUGGGUAUUUUAUGCUUGAGUGAAAGAUCCUACACCUGGAUUAGUGUACUUUAGGUAAGUAGCAAUAGAUCAUCGCGACUAGUCCGCGGUAUACUGAAUGGUCAAAAUGAUGGUUACGGCUUAAUGUGGCACUUUGAGUUCCUGAUGUUCCUCAUGUUUACUUGAGGAAAAAUUGGCUUCCGCGUGUGUCAUCAAAGCAUUAACCAGACCUUUAGAAACCCUAAUUGACUCACUCCUAGCCAUUAGAAAAUAGUUGAGAUAACUGGCUUCGGUUCUGACUGGGUUGGUUGAGACCUCGAUACUACACUCUUGAGAUUGGACUUUAGGGAAGCUUCGGUCAACCACUUGUGUUGCACUGAGGGUGGACUUAAGGAAGGUCAAUGAUUGGAGAUCCUUCUAGAACCGGUUACUAUAUCUAGGACAGGUUGAAACCAACCAACUUCAGUAGGGAGGUAUUACCUAUAUGAGCUCAUGCAAGCCUUAAAACCUAAGGAUGAUUGUUUGUCGUGACUUGUUUUUGCUUGUUAUCAUACAUUCAAUAACAUCAUAACAUCAUAACAUCAUAACAUUGUACUAACCAUUUAAGGACUUAGGGAUUUAGCUCUUGCGCUGUUUAAACAGAUUAUGGCUUCCAGGAAGACCAUCCGGAUCAAUCUGUAGCCGAUUCUCCUCAACUCAAGGACUUUAGUGUCAGAACUUCCUGAUCAGGACUCAGUUCGUCAAGAAACAUGGUUCUCUCCUCAGUUUGGUUACCAUGGUUUCAAAGGAAAGAUACUGAUGAGGGUUCUAUUCCAGUUCUUCAUCCUAAACAUCAUUGCUUCACAAUUGCAUCUCUCUCCUUUUUUGNNNNNNNNNNNNNNNUAUAUAUAUAUAUAUAUAUAUAUAUAUAUAUAAAGCCUCAUUGGAAGAUCCUUGGGAUAAGUUUCAUCACAACUUGCUCCUCGUCCUUAAUAGGCUCUAUAAUAAAGUCCUACUCCUUAUUCCAUCACAAAAUUAAACAAUGUGAGACUUCAAAGAACUUAUAUCUUACAUAUAGUUUUAGACUCUAUCUUCAUUCAUAAAACUAAGCGAUGUGAGACUUCUUCAACAU
rnacentral:lncRNA from 1 species